rnacentral:lncRNA from 1 species
UAAAAUUGGCUUCUUGCAAGCUCAGAACAUUACCUGAUCUUAGCAGCCAGUCAAUGUUGGUAAUUUUAGACCUUUCCCAAAACCAAAUUCCGGGGAAAAUACCAAAUUGGAUUUGGAAGAUUGGUAAUGGCUUUCUUUCUCAUUUGAAUCUCUCUCAUAAUUUACUGGAGGGUUUGCAGGAACCUUUGUCCAAUCUUCCUCCGUUUCUGUCUACCCUUGACCUUCAUUCCAACCAGCUCCGUGGGCCAAUCCCCACUCCACCAUCUUCCACCUAUGUGGAUUACUCAAACAACAGGUUCACCUCUUCCAUUCCCGAUGAUAUUGGUACUUACAUGAACGUCACUGUUUUCUUCUCUCUUUCAAAGAAUAACAUCACUGGAAUUAUUCCUGCAUCAAUCUGCAAUGCCCAUUACCUGCAAGUUCUUGACUUUUCUGACAACAGUUUAAGUGGCAAAAUACCCUCAUGUUUGAUUGAGAACGGGGAUCUUGCAGUGCUGAAUCUACGGAGAAACAAGUUUAAGGGCACUAUACCUGGGGAAUUCCCAGGUCACUGUCUUUUACAGACCCUAGAUCUCAAUGGGAAUCUUUUAGAAGGAAAAAUUCCAGAGUCUCUGGCCAAUUGCAAAGCAUUAGAGGUUUUAAACCUUGGGAACAAUCGGAUGAAUGAUAUCUUUCCUUGCUGGUUGAAGAACAUUAGCAGUCUGCGUGUUCUUGUUUUGCGAGCCAACAAAUUCCAUGGACCCAUUGGAUGUCCAAAUAGCAAUUCCACCUGGCCAAUGCUUCAAAUUGUCGAUUUAGCUUGGAACAAUUUUAGCGGUGUGUUGCCAGAAAAAUGUUUCUCAAACUGGAGAGCAAUGAUGGCAGGUGAAGAUGACGUCCAAUCCAAGUCCAAUCACCUGCGAUUUAAGGUCCUAGCAUUCAGUCAAUUGUACUAUCAGGAUGCAGUAACAGUUACCAGCAAAGGUCAAGAAAUGGAGCUUGUGAAGGUCCUAACUCUCUUCACUUCCAUUGAUUUCUCAUGCAAUAAUUUCCAAGGGGACAUACCAGAAGAUAUAGGAGACUUGAAGUUACUUUAUGUUCUCAACUUAUCUGGUAAUGGUUUCACAGGCCAAAUCCCAUCAUCACUAGGACAGCUGCGACAGCUUGAGUCAUUAGACCUCUCACUGAACAAGCUGAGCGGGGAGAUCCCUGCACAGCUCUCGAGCCUAAAUUUCCUUUCGGUCCUGAACCUCUCUUUCAAUGGAUUGGUGGGAAGGAUCCCUACAGGUAAUCAAUUGCAAACAUUUUCAGAAAAUUCAUUUGCAGGUAACAGAGGAUUAUGCGGCUUCCCUUUAAAUGUAAGUUGCGAAGAUGCUACACCACCCACGUUUGAUGGCAGGCACUCAGGUUCCAGGAUAGCGAUUAAGUGGGACUACAUAGCUCCUGAAAUUGGAUUUGUGACAGGGCUGGGAAUCGUGAUUUGGCCUCUUGUGUUGUGUAGGAGAUGGAGGAAAUGCUACUACAAACAUGUUGAUGGAAUUCUUUCAAGGAUUCUCCAUCAGAAAAACCAAGGAAGAGAAAGUGGUGGAAGACGAGGUCACGGAAUUCGGAGGCGGAGAAUGUAGCACUGAUGAAGAGGGAUGUGACCACUGGCCAUGAGUCUAUUUCCAUUAAUUCAAUCCGAAACAUUAAAAAGGGGUCCAUAAUAUUAUUUAAGUAAAUGUAUAAUUUUAUAUUUGGACAAUGCCAUGGUGUAGAUUUUUAUAGUAACGUUACUCUUACCUUUAGUGAUGCGAGUAUCAUGGUAUAUAAAUAAACGGUUUUUAUAUAAUAAAGAAUUUAAGUUGUAAAACCACUCCAUGAAAGCUUUCCUACAAAUAUAACAUGUUAUAUUUAAGAAAUUUGAAACAAAGCUAUAGAAAAUUGUUUUUACAUAUUAAAUAGAAAAUAUCUUUUCUACCCAUGUCCAGAAAUGCUUUUUAUGUACAGCCACAGUCUAUAACCAUUUUAAACCUACCCAAAUUAAAAUUCUAACUAGGGUGAUUCAGGGAGCCACUCAAGCUGGGCUGGAGAAUGGGUAAAGAUAUGUUGGCUGGAUGUGGGCCCGAGUUGGGCUAAACUUCGUUGGGUGGAUUUCUGUUGGUAUUAAAAAAUAUGGGCCUGGUUGUUACAAACGAAGACCCCCAAUGAGGGAGCUAGGUCCAUAUUCAGCCCAAUCAGCACAUCUGAAGCCAUAAGGGAUUUAACAACAUGAGCUUGAAAACUAAAACCCAAAACCAUUCCCUAAAUUAUCAAAAUCCAUGUCCAGCUUGGCAUUCAAAUUGAAUUUCCCUAAGCAGGUUCAAUCUCUCCUUCCCUAUUUCACCCUUUAUGAAUCCAUGACCUUCACAUCAUACCCCGCAAAUGACUGUACAGUUUUUGGGUUUGUUUUUGCCUUCCUAAUCAACUUUUAUGUUAAGGUAAAGAAUUCAUUUGGGUCUUCACAUAGUAGUUUAUCUAUCAUUUGUAAUUAUUGUGAGAAAAGAUUAUAUAAUUUCACUUCUUUUUUUUUUUUUUCAUCUAGUUUUAGGAUGCAUUGGUACAUGGAAAUGAAAAUGGAAAUAUGAUGGAAAUGGAGGUAAAUAAUAAGUGAGAGUAAAAUUUAGUUUCCAUGAUAAUGAAUCUUUUUAUUCCUAUUUUCAUUCUAAGAAACUAUUCAACCACAUUAAUGAAAGGAAAAUUGAAUUGAUUUCUCAUUCCUUAUUUUGCUAUUCCAAACAUGGCUUUUAAUCUAUUUUACUUUUAAAAGAAAGAAAAACUUAUCUUUAAGGACUCAAGGAUGUACCAAACGUAAUUAGAGUUGGUAAGUAGUUAAUAGAUUGUCCAUUGUUUGUAACUAAUUAGAAGGUUGUAAGUUAUAUAAUUUGUGGCUACUUAUUAGUGUUGCUGUGUGGUUGUUCAAUUUUUUAGUUUUUAUUUUUUUUAUCAAUUUUCUCUCAAACAAGUGCUCUGGAUCUCUUACGUACUCUCUCCAUAUUGAUUGUUUUGUACGUAGCUACCAAAGAGUUUUAGAAAGUGUAUGCUUGAGGCACAUAACAUGAGAUCUUUCAAAGUUUGCAAAUCAUAACAAAAAAAGAUAUGUAGAUUUGUGACACUUUGAGGUAAUGAGACAUUGGAGAUGGAAAUAUUGAAAAUGAUGUCUCUUCUCUCAUUAAAAUUUUUCUCUUGGUUGAAAAUUUAUAGCACAAUUUAUUGAAUAUUAAUUAAUUUUGUGACAAAGAUUUUUAUAUUAUUUUUUUUUUUACUUAAUUUGUUGUAUUAUUAAAGAUAUUCAAAAUGAUGAAAUCAUUUCCUGAGGGUCAUAAAAAUAAAACGGUUUAUACUACAAAACAUAAUAAAAAAUAUAAUUAAUGACCAUGAAAUUUUUUUUCUAUAUAUGAUUAAUUCGAUUUGAAGACUAAUAUAAGUGUUUAAUCAUCUCUAAUCUUACAUAUUCAUCCCAAUGUUACUUUUUAAUAAGCCUUUUUCCUAGAGUCAACAAUCUCUCCCCUAAGAUAGAGCUCCUAUAAUUCGAACUCAUGAUCUAAUUUUGAUAUCACUUGUUAAGAUCAAGAACUUAGCUAUAUUAUCUUUGAAAAUCAAUUUGCUAUCAAUGAGGUCAUCCUAAUCCUUUUUAUGUGGUUCUCGUUCGUACUCAUCUUGAGACUUAACCAUCUCGAGUGAAAUAUUGGUGCCUUAGCAUCUUCCGCUUUACACAUUUUUCAAUAGCCAUUUUUUGUAAGAAGCAACAAUAUUAUUGCACACUUAACAACUUUCUCCUUCCUUUGUCUUACGUAGUUUGAUGCUUUGAUAGGACAAUGACCAGAACCGGAGAUUAGAGGAUGACCAACAAUGACCACCUUUUUGAUGCCCUAAUUCAUGAAUAACUAACAUGCUUUGAUACUAUUUUGAAUCUUUGAUACUCUGAUUCACCAAUGGCCUUCAAACUGACGAGUUGAUUCCAUUUCAAAUUAGUGUGUUAAUGAUGCUGAUGCUGUUCUGAUUAGAGGAAGCUGAUGGUGCUCGAAUUUGAAGCUGGGGAUUCUGUUGCAGGGUACUGAUUAUACCAGUGCUAUAAUAUGGUAGUGAUUUUGUUUAUUGGAGAAGGAGAUUUUGAAUAUUUGAUCGAUGCUGCUAGUUGAAAGGUAUUUUUGAUAUUUAAAUAUUUUUGAUGAAUAUGCUCCAAUCCAGGACAUUGUUUGAUCAAUAGGCCCAAUACGUAAUUUCCUAGUUUGUUUUUUAGUAAUUGGAAGUAAAGAGAAAUUUGAGGGUGUGCAAACUUAAGGGUAAGUGAGUUUGACAUUACAAGUGGCUAUUGUGAAAAUUUAUGUAGAAUCUAUUAUUUUUUAAUUUUUUAUAAUUAUUUUAAUUUUAAUAAUAUAUAAAUUAUGUGUUUAUAGCAUUAUCAAUUUGAUCAAAGUUCAAUGAAUAGUUUGACUGUUGAACCGUAAAUCAAUGACUUUUUCAAUUUAGUUCUCUAAAAUAUUAAACAUUGCAAAUGGGAGUACAUAUUAAUUAAAAAACAAACAAACAAAACUUAUCUUUACGUCAAGAACUUCAUAUUUGCUCAUUUUAGGACUUUUAAUAAUGGAGGAACGUAUCAUGCAUUUGCCAUAAUGAAUGAUUUAGGUACAUAUGAGUUUUAUUUUUAAGUUAUAAAAAUGAACCUUCUCUUUUUCUGUCAAAAUCUUGCAAAAAGGUUAAAAAUGAAAAACAAAAAAAAAUUACAAUCACUUAUAAUCUGUAUUGAUCAUGGACAUAAUUUUUCUAUUUCUAAAACACCUUAAUAGAUAGGUUGUUGAAGAGAAAAAUAAAUCUAUAUAAGAAACGACAAAAACUUGGCUUAAUGAAAACAAUUUUUCUUAAUGAAAAUAGUUUUCUAAUUAUUUUGGGUGAAAGCAUUUAAUAUUACUUGCUAUAUUUUAAAUAACGUUUGAUAGAUAAACUCAUCAUUAGAGUUUUCAAGGUCUUUAUGUUCUUUACGUAAACUUUUUAAGAUGAUCUUUAAUAUUCUUUAUUCAGUAAUAAUGUUUUUGUUUUUAUUACUUGAUUUGUAUAUUAAAAAAGUAAUUAAGCUCCCUUACCAUAUGCUCAUUUCAAAUUCAUUUUCUAUAUAUAUACUAAGAGAAUUAUUGACAAAGAGAGAUGCUAGUAGCACUAAAUAUUAUGUUGUCAACAUAAAUUUAAACUAAGAGCAUGUCAUUACAUUUGGUUUUAAUAAAUAUUUUAGUGUCCAUUCUAUCCAUUUUUAAUCUAUUAUCAAGCAUAGUUUUGUUUACCCAAUUGAAUUAGAAGUGAACAUCAAAAUAUUUUUUUCCAAACUUUAUGAAAGUCACAAUAUGUAGCAUUUAACAUGUAUGAGGUUUACAUGUAACGGUCAAUAUUUUUACUCAACCUUGUUUGAAAUUAAUAUAUAAACUCAUAUUAUUUCAAAUGGGUAGAAUUUGUUUUGUGAAAAUUUCAAGGCAUGAAACAACUUCUCAUAUAAAUUAAAAAAGAAUAUGAAAAAACUUAAAUACAUCAUCCAUACUUUUUCAUACUAUUUUUUUUUUUAAUGAAAUGACUUAAAUAAAUUCAAGAGCAUUUACGUCCUUAAAAACGUGUUUAAAGAAAAUAAAAGAAGAAAAGAAAGCAAAAUAAAACAAAACUUAAAUACAUUAUCAAUGUAACUCAAAAAGAAAAGGAAAAAAAACUUAAAUAUAAUAUCCAUAUUUUUAUAUUGAACAAUUUUUCAUUAAAAUUAACUAAAUAAGUUUGAAUGCAAGUUCAAACUUAAUUUAAUCCUAAAAUUAACUAAAAUUUAAUUUUAAUGCUAGGUUCAUAGAAAAUGCUAGGUUCAUAGAAGAUGGUGAGGUUAAUUAGUGAGAGUCAAGAACUAUGUAAUAUGAUUAUUAAAGAAGUUAGAAUGCAACUUCCUUUAACCAAAACUUCAAAGAUUGUUGUUCCUUACAAUUAUUAAACAAUUUGAUAACAUUUAAAAACAAAAAGUGAAUGAUCCAACUUUUCAUAAUGAAAUUGCACUAAUUAACCCAUAGUAGAGGAAGGGCACGCGUGAAAUAGCAUCAAGGUCUCAAAACAAAGGAGAUUAUGCAAAUCAUGUGGUACAUCUAUAAGUCAAAAAUUUAACUUUUUCAUUUUUACAUGCCCUAAAAGAUAUUGAUUUAGUUAAUUAAAUGGACCAAUGUUAUGAAAUGGGCUAAAAUCAAUGAAACAAAAGUUGACAUAUUGUUGAAUUGUUUAGAAGUCAUAAAAAUUUCAGUGUAAAUAGGUCUUUAAAACCAUGAAUCUAGUAGAAAUGUUGACAAUAUAAAACCAUAAUUUUUGCCAAAGGUUUCAACAGAAAAAAAAAAAAAAAUGGCAUGAAUCACGAAUAUCCCUGUCUCACCCCAUCUCUAAAACACGUUCAUUUAGAAUCUUUAUGGCAUUGAUAGACUUGGAGUAACACAUUCAUUUUAAAAUGACUUAACGUAGCUAGGAAGACUUUGAGGUCUAAAGUUAUAGAGAAGUCAAUAAGCUCUUGGGAAAAACAUGAAGCACAUACGUCUUCUAUAGGACAAGAUAGGAGUAUUGUAUGUUCUCUUUGCCACAGCGACUCCUGUCACUCUCACAGCCAACUUCCAUGAUCCUUCCCACAGAAGUAUCAAAGUCGAGGUGGUCGACCAAGAUCUCUGUUAUAGUGUGAAUACCUUUACCACAAAGAGUUGUAAGAUAAGCAUGAAGAAUGUGUUCAAGAUACAUUUAGAAUGCUGUGUUGUUUAUGCAUAACUAGACACCCCCCUUUCUUUUUUCUUUCUGUUCAAACAUCUACAAAAAAAUAAAAUAAAAUAAAAUAAAAAAUCAUAUUAAACAUGUUUUGUUGUAGCAGUAUCUCCCAGCUGCUUCCAAUGAGAAUCCAAUUCUUUCAAUGGCUUUAUUUCUUGCCCUUAUGCUUAAUCGUUUUUGGUAUCCAUGUUGCUUUGGUGUCCGGGGAAUGUCUGAGUGAUGGGAGCACAUGCCUGGAGGAUCAGAUGUCCUUGUUGCUGCAACUGAAGAGCACCCUCAAACACAAUGUUGCUGCAUCAAGUAAACUAGUUUCCUGGAAUCCAAGCGGGGAUUGCUGUUCUUGGGGAGGUGUAACCUGGGACUCCAGCGGUCAUGUUGUCGGACUUGAUCUGAGUAGCGAAUUGAUUUCUGGGGGGUUCAAUAGUUCCAGUAGUCUUUUCAGUCUACAACAUCUCCAGCGCUUGAAUUUGGCUAACAACAGCUUCAACGAUUCUCAAAUUCCGUCUGGAUUCGGUAAGCUUGGCAAUUUGAUUUACCUGAAUUUGUCUAGCGCUGGGUUUUCUGGGCAGAUUCCAAUUGAGAUUUCACGCUUGACGAGGUUGGUUACUAUUGAUUUCUCUAUCCUUUACUUCCUUGGACUUCCUACGCUGAAACUCGAGAACCCAAAUCUGAGAAAGCUGCUUCAGAACCUCAGAGAGCUUAGAGAACUCCAUCUUAAUGGUGUAAAUAUAUCGGCUGAGGGGAAGGAGUGGUGCCAGUCAUUAUCAUCUUCAGUGCCUAAUCUCCAAGUGCUGAGCAUGCCAAACUGUUAUCUUUCUGGCCCUCUUGAUUCUUCCUGCAGAAGCUUCGGUCUCUCUCAAGCAUUCGCCUGGACAAUAAUAACUUCUCUGCUCCUGUUCCAGAAUUCCUUGCGAAUUUCUUGAAUUUGACUCUAUUGCGGCUCAGUUCUUGUGGAUUACAUGGAACCUUUCCAGAGAAGAUCUUUCAGGUACCAACCCUACAGAUUCUUGAUUUGUCAAACGACAAGUUACUACAAGGUUCUUUGCCGAAAUUCCCUCAGAAUGGAUCUCUAGGAACCUUGGUGCUCUCGGAUACAAAAUUCUCAGGGAAAGUACCAUACUCCAUAGGCAAUCUCAAGAGGUUGACUAGAAUAGAGCUUGCAGGUUGUGAUUUCAGUGGCCCAAUCCCAAACUCGAUGGCAGACCUUACACAACUGGUCUACUUGGACUUAUCUAAUAACAAGUUUUCCGGUUCAAUCCCACCUUUUAGUUUGUCCAAGAACCUGACCCGAAUAAACCUUUCUCAUAAUUAUUUAACAGGCCCGAUUUCUUCCUCUCACUGGGAUGGCCUAGUGAAUCUAGUGACUCUUGACUUGCGAGACAAUUCACUGAAUGGAAGUCUCCCCAUGCUCCUGUUUUCCCUCCCAUCACUGCAGAAGAUACAACUGAGCAACAACAAAUUUUCUGGUCCCUUGAGUAAAUUUUCAGUUGUGCCUUUUUCUGUACUGGAGACCCUUGAUUCGAGUAGCAACAAUCUGGAAGGGCCAAUACCUGUAUCUGUCUUUGAUCUCCAUUGUCUUAACAUCCUUGAUCUUUCUUCCAACAAAUUCAAUGGCACUGUUGAACUAAGCAGCUUUCAGAAACUUGGAAAUCUUAGCACUCUUAGUCUUUCAUACAACUUCUUGUCCACCAAUGCGAGUGUUGGUAAUCCCACUUCACCUCUGCUGUCGAAUCUUACCACAUUGAAAUUGGCUUCUUGCAAACUCAGUACAUUACCUGAUCUUAGCACCCAGUCAAGAUUGACACAUUUAGACCUUUCCGAUAACCAAAUUCGCGGGAGCAUACCUAAUUGGAUUUGGAAGAUUGGUAAUGGAUCUCUUAUGCAUUUGAAUCUCUCUCAUAAUUUACUGGAGGAUCUGCAGGAAACUCUCUAAUUUUACUCCUUAUUUGUCCAUCCUUGACCUACAUUCCAACCAGCUCCAUGGCCAAAUCCCCACUCCUCCCCAAUUUUCCAAAUAUGUGGAUUACUCAAACAACAGUUUCAACUCUUCCAUCCCAGAUGAUAUUGGUACUUACAUGUCCUUCACUAUUUUCUUCUCUCUUCCGAAGAAUAACAUCACUGGAAGUAUUCCUAGAUCCAUCUGCAAUGCAACUUACCUGCAAGUUCUUGACUUCUCUGACAAUGACUUUAGUGGCGAAAUACCAUCAUGUUUAAUUCAGAAUGAGGCUCUUGCAGUGUUGAAUCUAGGGAGGAACAAGUUUGUUGGCACUAUACAUGGGGAAUUGCUGCACAAGUGUCUUUUACGGACGCUAGAUCUCAGUGAGAAUCUUUUACAAGGAAACAUUCCAGAAUCUCUAGUUAAUUGCAAAGAGUUAGAGAUUUUAAACCUUGGGAACAACCAGAUUGAUGAUAUCUUUCCUUGCUGGUUGAAGAACAUAAGCAGUUUGCGUGUCCUUGUUCUGAGAGCCAACAAAUUCCAUGGAACCAUUGGAUGUCCCAAGAGUAAUUCUACCUGGGCAACGCUUCAGAUUGUCGACCUAGCCUUCAACAAUUUCAGUGGUAAGUUGCCAGCAAAAUGCUUAUCGACCUGGACAGCAAUGAUGGCGGGUGAAAAUGAAGUCCAAUCCAAGCUCAAAAUCCUGCAAUUUAGGGUUCAACAAUUCAGUCAAUUGUACUAUCAGGAUACUGUAAGAGUUAUCAGCAAAGGUCAAGAAUGAGUUGGUGAAGAUCCUAACUCUCUUCACCUCCAUUGACUGGUCGUACAACAAUUUUGAAGGGGAGAUACCAGAAGUGAUAGGGAACUUCACAUCCCUUUAUGUUCUCAACUUAUCGCAUAAUGGUUUCACAGGCCAAAUCCAAUCGUCAAUAGGGAAUCUGCGACAACUUGAAUCAUUAGACCUCUCGCAAAACAGGCUGAGUGGAGAGAUACCUACACAGCUUGCGAACCUAAAUUUCCUUUCAGUCCUGAACCUCUCAUUCAACCAAUUGGUGGGAAGGAUCCCUACAGGUAAUCAAUUGCAAACAUUUUCACCAAAUUCCUUCGUGGGUAACAGAGGAUUAUGCGGCUUCCCCGUAAACGUAAGUUGCGAAGAUGCUACACCACCGGCGUCUGAUGACGGGCACUCAGGCUCCGGGAUGGAGAUUAAGUGGGAAUACAUAGCUCCUGAAAUUGGAUUUGUGACAGGAUUGGGAAUCGUGAUUUGGCCUCUAGUGUUGUGCAGGAGAUGGAGGAAAUGCUACUACAAACAUGUUGAUAGAAUUCUUUCAAGGAUUCUCCAAGGAAGAGCAAGUGGUGGAAGAAGAGCUCACAGAAUUCGCCUCCGGAGGCGGAGAAUGUAGCCGUGGUGCAGAGGGAUGAAGUGAUUAGUCAAGAGUCCAUUUCCAUUAAUCCAAUCCUAUGUUUCAUUGAAGGAAUAUUAAAAAGGGGUCCAUAUUAUUGGAUGGGCCUUCAAUCCGUGUGUCAAAUGUAAUUCUGGCUUGCUUCUUAUAAAUUUAAUCGAAUGCAUAAUUUUAUAUUUGGACAAUGUCAUGGUGAAGUAGAUUUUCAAAGUAACAUUUUUCUUACCAUAUUCAGCCCAAUCAACACAUCUCAAGCCAUAAGGGAUACAACAUUGAUAAGCAAGUAAUUAUCAUACUAGGUGGUAAGGUGGCUGCCCAUCUACUUAUAAAAGUUUCAUCCUCUUACAGGCUUUCACAUUAAAUUUGGCAAUGGUUCUCACUUUAUUUUAUUUUUUACCACAUUUUUUUAUUAUUUUGUUAAUUUAUGGGAAGAAAAAAAUUUAUCAAUUUUUUUUAUAGUCCAUUGUUCCAAUGAAAUGAUUAAACAAUGAUAAGAGUAUGAGAUUUUCAAAAGUAGAAGGUCAAUCGAUAUAACUUGUAAAUUUUUAGAUUUUAAUGGAAUUUGAAAAGUACUAAUAUUAUCAUGCAAGUGAAAUAACAACAUGAACUUGAAAAAUUAAACCCAAAACCAUCUCUAAAAUUAUCAAUAUCCUGACCCAACUUCACAUUCAACUUGAAUCUCUUUAAACAAGUUCAAUCCUUUCUAUUUUUCAAUUUUCUUUCACUUUUUUUUUUCUUUCUAGAAUUAGACUCUUUAUGGGUACCAUGAAAAAGAUUGCUAGCUAGGAAUGUAAAGCAUGGUUUUUAAGAAUGAUAAGUGCUCAUAUAUAUUUUGAAUCAAAUUUAAGAGAAAGUUCAUUACAAUGAAUUGAUUUUCACUUAACUACUCAUAAUUCUAGUAUGAUACAAGGAUUCCAUAUAAUCCAAAUCAUAAAUCCAAAUAAGAACUUUAUGUCUAUGGGAAAUCUAAUAAGCUCUAAUUGAAGUCAUCUAAAUUUAUCAUUUGAUAUUUAAGCUCUAAUUGAAUCCAUUAGAAUUGUUAUUUGAAUUUUAGACAUAUUAGAUAUCAUUUAGACUUCUUUUAGAUAAUUCGUAUAUCUUGUUUUCCAGGAAAUUUGAUUUCUUUGUCCAAACUUGAUGUUUUCGAACAUACUUUCAAAUUUAAUUAGAAACAAAUGUCUCAAUUUUUUUCAAAUAAUCAUCUUUUCCAUUCUAAUAUCUUACAUGAUGAUUUGUAGAAGUUGAAACUCGAUAACCUUUUUACCAAGAUCCUUGUUACCUUGCACUAUAAUGUUUAGUAGAUAAGCUUUUAGUUUUCUAGUGACAUAAAUGUUGGAGAUUAGUAGAGAAUGAAAAUCUUCAAAACUUAGAUUUUAUUGAUACUCAACGUGUAUGUGGAUUGCAUUAGAGUAAAACCAACCAAACACACUAAGAAAUAAGCUACUAGGAAAAAAAUAAUAAAAAUUAUAUUAGAAAAAAAAAUCCAUAUGCAUUCGUAUAUAACGGAGCUUACAACCAAUCUACAAAUAUUAAUAAAAUAUUCGUAUACAAACGGAUUUUUCACUAGCCGUUGGAGCAUUUAAUGCUCCGUUAUCUUUGACCAGACAUCGAUCAAGAAGGCAAAUACCUCGACCAGGAAGGAAAGGCUAUUAGCAGAGAGAGAGAGAGAGAGAGAGAGAGAGAGUGUGUUUUUUGCUCCUCUCGACUAGAUCUCAAUCAAGAAGGAGUAAUCGGUCAACCAGUACCCUGGUCGGUUGAGCCGGUUUGGCCAGUGUCUCGACUGGUUCACCAUUUUUGGCCCAAAAAACCUAUAUUUUUUUGCUAUUUUCUCUUCUAACACUUAGGCAAGGUAUUUAGGUAAAUUAAUUUGCCAAUUUUGAAAUGAUUUGCCUAAGGUUCAUUUGAUAAAACUCGGGUUUUGAUGGAAAUGUAACUUUAAAGCAUAAACUGAGUUUUUCAAAUAUGCAUGAAAUGAUACGUAAAUCCUAAGUGCACCCAUGCAUUCAUCUUACAUAUGUUUCCUAUGAUUAAAGGUCUUCCAAAAGUCUUAAUCUUGCAUCCAUUAGGUCAUUUGAUGAAUUUCCAAACUGACAUUUGAAAUUGUUUAUAAUUCAAACCAAUUAGUAACUUAACCAUAAUUUGUUAUCAUCAAAACAUGAUUAGGAGAACCCUUGGGCUAACAAUCUCCCCCUUUUUUAUGAUGACAAACCUUGGUUAUCUAAGAGAAAAAGAAUCUCCCCCUCAAACCAAUCAUGGAUCAACAAUCAAAAUUUACGAAGUUAAAACCAAGAUAAUCAAGACAUACUAGAGAGAAUUUGCAAUAAGAAACAACGUAAGUCAUCAAAAAUAUAAGAAUAUCAUAUAUAAGUCAAUGUAUCAAUAUCCAGUAUAUACGAUCCAAGUGAUAUGACAAUGAUAUGCAUGUAAGUCUCCUAGAUCCUAAAAUAUCUCCCCCUUUUGGCAACAUAAAAAAUGAACUAAUAGGGUCUCGAAGGAAUCAAGGAUGAGGAAGUGGAGGAGAAAACACAGAGCGCAAAUAAGCCAUCAUAUUCUCAUGUUGACUCUCCAAACGAUCCUCAAUACGCUCAAUCCCCUAUUGGAGAUACUCAAACUGUGAAGUGAAGCCAACCUGAUGAUCCAUGCAAUCCUCCAUAAAGUAGAACCGUGUGUCACUGACUACAACAAGCUCCUCCAUAUGAGUGCUUAGAGAGCUAAUCUAAGCAGAUAAAUCCAUCCAUGGAGCAUGGUCAAGAGCAAGAGGUGUUUAAGCAAAUGGUAUCUCAAAAAGUGUAGGCUUAGUGAAUGCAAGUUCAAAGGAAGACUUAGUGAAUGACAAUUAAGUAUAUGGACCCGCUAUAAAAGUUGGCUCAAACAUCAUUGGCUCAGAGAAAGUAGUCUCAAACUGAACACCACUAACUGGAGUGGAGGAAUGUCAAGCUCGGGCUCUCUCUGUUGAUAGCCACUCUGAGGGUCUACUCCACACUCCAUCUUUUUAAUCUCUACCUCCUCCUCAACUCCGGGAUGUGCCUGUCCCUGUCCCCGAGCUUGUGUCGUUGCUCUCUUUGCUUUCCUUACCCAAGAACCAUUUGUGGCCUUCUCAAAUUUCAUCUUCCCCAUGGACUGAUCAUCAUACGUAUCAUAAGCGUUGGGGACCUCAAAGUUUGUCUCUCUGCUCAAGUCAAUGCCGACAUCCUUGCACACUCUAGUAAGGAAGUGACCAUAGGGGAGUACGCGAGUCGUGCUCUCGCAACAUGAGAUCAAGUGCAUCAUCAUCAAGUACCCCAAGUGGAUUCGUCUUCCAGUCAAAAUAGAGUCAAUAAGGAAUGCCUCAUAAUAAGAGACCUCAUCUCGGUGUCCACCCCGUGCAUAUGAUGUAGCACUUUGCUGAUGACCGUCAGGUUGUGUGCUGAGGGUUUGUCCAUCCCGUGGGCAUCUACAAGUUCACAAAUCCUCUUAAUGGCUCUAGGCUCAAAUCUUGGCACAAUGGGCCACAUUUUGGACUCAUAUACUUUGAGUCCAACUGGAGCAAUAUCGAAAAUACUACAAAUGCUCUUUAGUCCAGACGAAUCUUGACGCCUUUAACAGUAGAAAUGAUCGAGCCACCUGAUGAGAAUCAACAAGCAUUCGAGGAUCCAUUGUAUGUUCCAGUUGGGCCUAUUACUAAAGCAAGAUCCAAGAAGAUUAAAGAAGCAAUUAAUGGGCUAAUUCAAGAGAUUUGGGUUGAUUCUAACGUAGGACAUUCCAAGCUUGGCCCAAAGGAAGAUGAAGGUGUAAUAAAUUUAAUCGAAGCUAUUGAGGGCUAAUCUGGCUUGAUUGGGCGUGAUUUAUGGCGUGGAUUAAUGACUGAUUGACUUUCGAACUCCAUAUCAGUUAAUAGACAUUUUUCCUAUUUUAGAGCUUCUAAUUUUAGGUUAAAUCUACCUUAAUUUUAGGCUUUUAUUAUUUAGAACGAUUUUUAGCUAUUUUCCUAUUUUGGAUUUGCUAAUUUCAGACCAACUAAACUUUUAUUUAGGGUUUUAAUAUUUAGUAAGUUUUUAUUUCAUGACAUAUAAAUAGCAUGCACUCAUUGUAAUAGAGGAUAAUUUGAUUGAAUAAAAAAUUAGAAAAGGUGAGGCUUUGCUCUUCUUUUGGUUCUUCAAGGACUAUGAACUUAUCAGGGAUUCUUCUUUGUGGCUUUCAAACUUUAUACUUUCGGUUCGUGAUUCCAUUGUAAUCAUUGGGUCAAGGUUGUUACUUAUACUUUUGGUUCACGUUUCACUUAUAAACGUUGGGUGUUCUAUCAAAAAUCUGUAUUUUAGCUUUCUUGGGCAAUUAUUCCAAUACUGUUUGUUGGGUCUCAAAGCGUGUCGAUUGAGGUUCACAUCAUUUGGUAUUAGAGCUCAGGUUCUAAAAUCAGUCGAUUGAGGUUCGCAUCACCACCUAUGCCAUAAGUCGCCUUUGAGUAAAAAGCUCACACCAAAGUCGAGAAAAUCGACUCCAAAACAGUGACCACAGGAAACCAACCCAUCCUAGUGAAUAAACCCUCGAAUCCGAAGUGCUCAAGUUGGGGAAAAUUAAUAUUUCUCCUCAGAACUACUCGUCCCAAAGCAAAGUGAUGUUUGUACCGUUGGUAGUCCACCACGAAGUUGAACAAGGCAGUAUCAAACCUUGCCUUUCGGGUUUGACAAGGUUCCAAAAGCUUGAAUCCUAAAUCCUUAAGAGGGUUUAUAUAGGAUUUCCUAUGGACUUAAGUGACUUGAGCCCAAAUUUGGCUUGAGUCACCCGAUCUAGCCCACUUGGGUCCUAAUUAAUUAAUUAUUUUAAUGGACUCCAAUUAAUUAAUUAGCUCAAAACACCAAUCUAGAAAAAUUGUUCAUAAGAUCUUGUGCAACCUUGUAUUUUUACUAAAACACCCUUAUGUGCCCUUAUGAACUACAAAUCUAAAUCUCUCAAAUAAAACAUGUCACCAUGAACUAGGAGCUCAAGCGGGGACCAUUGGGACCUAUAAGAUUAUAUUGGCUCCCUCAUAAUUGAAUUCCAAAAUUGAUUCGAGAAUCCACUAAAGAGAAACAAUUGUACUUCGGUAUCCUACAUUAAGACAAAGCUUAGGUUUGUAACCUACUAUUCAUUGCAUGCAAAUUCCUCAUGAAUUAGUGUUUGUAAUCUAAUAAGGUAGUGUUAUCAACCUAUCAAGAUUAGCUCUUUAAUCUUUAAGUUAUAAAUCCUCCUAUUAUGUGAUCAAUUGACAUACUCUAGCUUAUAAAGAACAUAUAUCAAAAUUCACUUAAAGAAUUACUACAACCACAUAUUUCAUAAUCAUAUGCCCUUUAGAUCAUCCAAGGGAACACUUUGUCCCAAUUCUAUGAGAUGCCAUGGUGCCUCUAUUGAGAAUAUGUAUUAUCACCAACCUCCAUCAACAAUUGCAAUUCAUAGGGAAUCUAUAUAUAUAAUCACUUUAGGGUCUUACCUAAUGGUCAAAACCUCCUAUUGAUUUUUAGCAUAGACUUAAUAUCUUCUUAAAGUUGAGAGUCCAUGCAAUAUAGUAACUUUGUGAAUCAUGACAACCCAAUGACCUUAUGUCAUGAUUCAUCAUAGGCACGAUUUGAAAUAUUGCAAAAUUUCAGCGAAAUAUCGUCGAUUUUUCGCUUAUCGGAGAGAAUCAACAUGACAUUCGUCAUUGAUAAUCAAUUGACGGAUUUAUUGCGGAUUUUUUUGGGAAUAUCGGUAAUAUUUUGGCAUUUAUCGACAUUUUUGCCUAUUUUUCGAAAAAUUUCCCGAUUUUUUGGUGCCAACCACUUUGGUCAACACGAAAUCAACCCUCACAUUUUUUGUUGUAAUGCCUAGGGGAUUUGAACCUAGGUCAAAAGGCUUGGGUUGAACCCUGGUUACAACUGGGCCAAAAUGUCAUUUGUAAAUAUAUGUUCAAUUUAAAUAUGUUAAAGUUCAGCAUUUAAAAAAUAAUUUUAAUUAUUUUAUUUUAAAUUUUAUGUAAUUGAUUAAUAAAAAUAUAAAAACCAACAUUAUAAUUUUUUUAACAAGUCUUUUUUUAUAUCAUUUAUAUGAUAAUUAAAUAUAAAAAAUAUAAAUAUUAAAAAAUCAUAUAUGUAUCAUCAUUUAUUUUACAUUAUUGAAUGCAUUUAAAUUAAAUAAAUUAUAGUUUUAAUAUUAAAUGUAUUAUUAUUGAUCUCAUUAAUCUUAUUUUAAAAAAUAAUUAUCACUUCACUUUUAAAUUUUUUAUAUUUAUUUGUUUAUUUUUUAAUAUCUUUAUUUUAAAAUAUUAAAAAUAUAAAUUUAUUCAAAAUAUACUAAAAUAUAUAUAAAAAAAUUAAUAAUGAAGUUCUAAUAUUUUAUAAAUUAAAAUUAAUUUGAUAAGAUAAAUAAUAAAUUAUAUAUUAUGAUUGAUAUAUCCUUGCUUAGAGAUAAUUUUCUCCUUAAUCAUACUUAUGUCAAUUAUACUUACAAAUUAACUUUAGCAUGUGCCUUUUUACUUAUUUUAUCAUUUUUUUUUGGAGUUUUUCCAAAUAUUUCAAUGAAUUUUGAAUAAUUUUCACCUCACCAAAAUUUUUGUCAAAAUAUUCACCAAUAUUUCUCCGAUAUUUUCAAUAUAAUCGUAAAAUUCAAGUAUCAAUAUAUCCAUAUUUUCCAAUAUUUCAAACCAUGAUCAUAGGUCUUGUCUUAUGUAUAACCAAUACACACUAGUGUACUCACAAUAGGAACCCUAUCUCAAUGGUCAAGAUAAGUCAUAUUUUAUAACCAUACACACUAGAUUUUAAAAGUGUGAGAUAAUGCUCAUAAAAAUAACAAAGUAGAGAAUUUGUUGAUAAUUAUUCCCAAAUAAAUGUCAUUAAAACAAUUUGAACUAGAAUUUAAAAUAAAAAGAUGUCACAUGGAUUAACCUAGGAUUUGAGAAAUUUGGCCUCAUCAUAGGCCAUACUACAAACCUUAGAUGAAUUUUAGGAGAAAAUGAGUAGAAGUUAGAAUAAUAAAACAGUUCUUUUAUUUUCCAAAACAAAAAAAUUGGAAAACACAUUUUACAAUCAAAAAAUAUUUUAUGCUUUUUGUUCUCAAGAACAGAAAACAAAGUGUUUCAGAUAAUAUCUUUUAGUUAUUUUAAUUAUUUUCACUUAUUUUUUUAGAGUUGUUUUAAAAAAUAAUUAUAGAAAUAUGUAUCAUGAUUAAAAAUAAAGCUCGAUCUAGAUAUAAAAAUAAUUUUUAAAACUUACUUAAAAAUAUUAAAACCAUUUCAAAUUCUCAAACAGACUUUUAGUUUACAAAACAUCAAAGAAUAGUUUUUAAAAAUUGUUCUUAAAAACUAUUUUUCAGAAUUAUUUCAAAAACAGUUAUCACACAGGUCCUUAAUUUCUAGCCUGUGAAAGAAGAGACAAAAAUGAGUAAUUUUGUUUAAUAUAAAUAAACAAAGAGUCAUGUGAAUAAAGGGAUCCUUGAUAUAACAACAAAAAUCAACCUUUCCAACUUCUCAAGUGAUUCUAUCUCUUUGUUGACCAUCGUGACAACCUUAAUCUCUUUUCAUUAGCAGUAGGAGUAAGGUAGAUUAGCAGUAGAUUCAUCAAUGGGGAAACCAUUUUAUGCUUGUUCCUAUCAUUUAGGUUUACAUCAAUGAGUGGUUUGGAGGGUGUACUACCUAUAGUCUAUUUAAAUUUGAGGGGAAAGGCUUUUAUCCUUUAAAGGACUUCUUGCCACCCUUCUUCAAUUUUGGGGAGAGUUCGAUCAAUAUUCAAUAACCAUUUAGCAUUAUUAUCCAAGGGGUCAUGGGAGAGAAGUUUCUCUAGCAUUGGUUAUGCCAUAUCCAAUAUACACAUCACUAGAGGGUGACAUUAUCCCAAUAAUCACAUCAUGCCCUUCAGUACCAGUAUAGUUUUGAUCAAUGCAAUUUGCUGUGAAUUUCUGUAGUGGUAGAAUUAUAGCCAGGAGGUUCUAGCCCCAGUAUCCACCAUAGGCCAGCAAAGUGAAUAAUCCUAGGAGAAUAAGCUCAGAAGCACAAGGAUUUGAUCAAUGGAACCUGGUUUUUUUUGUUUUAAUUUCUUUACUGAUAUAAUAAACCUUCUGUUUAUUUGGUUCGCUGUCAUUAUUAUAAUCUCUAGUAGUUGCACCAUCCUGGGUGAAUGAGCUAUUACCCCUACCAAUUGAACUUUUUUUUGGUUAUAGUCCUUGGUAUUCUCUUGGAAUUGACAACCAUUUGGAAAAUAAAAAUUCCUUUAUUUAGACAUAAAAAGAAUCCACAAGCAUGGACCAUUGCUAAAAGAAGAUUGAUAUGAGACUAUUCAACCCGAGACACUAUUUGCCUAGGUAUAUUUCGGGAUGGUGAUUAAUUCCUCUAAUAGGACUAGAACAAAUGGCUAAAUUGCUCUGAUAUGCUCACAUCUUUAAUCAAUAAGUUUACACUAAAUCAGUAUAACUCCCUACCAAAACGCUAGGUGAGAGAUCAGGGGCAAAGCUAGGUAGUGUCUGGGAGGGGCAAAUGAAAUUUUAAUAAAAAUAUUAGGGUUUAUUGCUAACUAUUUGGUUACUGGUGAAGUUCCAAGUGAGUGGAAAACACAAGACAGGAAGCACUUUUUUGCAAAGAUUCAUGCUUAUUAUUGGGAAGAGCCCUUCCUUUUCAAGUAUUGUGCAGAUCAGAUCAUAAGGAAGUGUGUCCCUGAAGAAGAGCAACAAGGGAUCCUCAGCCACUGCCAUGAGAAUGCCUGUGGAGGCCACUUUGCCUCUCAGAAAACAGCAAUGAAGGUCUUGCAAUCAGGGUUUACUUGGCCAUCGCUUUUUAAAGAUUCCCACAUCAUGUGUAGGAGUUGUGAUAGAUGCCAAAGACUCGGGAAGCUUACAAAAAGAAACCAAAUGCCCAUGAACCUGUGGACCCGCAUUUUUCACGUGCGUCCCCACUCGAUCGGCGAGACUCGCUUUUUAUUUAUUUGUGAAAAAUUGAUUUUUGAAAAAAAAGUUGGAGUCGCCACUUAUUUUAUUUUUAUUUUUGAAGGGAAAAUAAAACAAGAAAUAAAACCCUAAAAAAAAUGACUCCAUAAUUUUUGGAAAAGCGUGUCUUUGAAAACCCAAGUCUUGGUCCGGGGAUCAGGUUACUUAUUGGGAAGGUACCUCUAGGAGGUAACACCCCUCUAAGCCCUAAAGAGGUCUCUACUAAUUAAGUUAAGGGGAAUAUGGCAAUUAAUCGGUUAAUUAUGGAUACCUAAGUAGGCUAGGUGAUUUCAGAAAAUUUGCAUGCUAAACAAGAUCAAAUUGCCNNNNNNNNNNNNNNNNNNNNNNNNNNNNNNNNNNNNNNNNNNNNNNNNNNNNNNNNNNNNNNNNNNNNNNNNNNNNNNNNNNNNNNNNNNNNNNNNNNNNNNNNNNNNNNNNNNNNNNNNNNNNNNNNNNNNNNNNNNNNNNNNNNNNNNNNNNNNNNNNNNNNNNNNNNNNNNNNNNNNNNNNNNNNNNNNNNNNNNNNNNNNNNNNNNNNNNNNNNNNNNNNNNNNNNNNNNNNNNNNNNNNNNNNNNNNNNNNNNNNNNNNNNNNNNNNNNNNNNNNNNNNNNNNNNNNNNNNNAACAAAGAAUUAAGAUCAACUAAUGCAUUUAAAUUAAAAAUGAAUUGAAAUCAAACUAAUUGGGAUUAAAAAUACAAACUUUAUUCAAUACAAUUAUUUAAACUUAAGAAUUAAAAUCAACAAAAUACAUUUAAACUAAAAAAAAAAAGUUAAAAUCAAACUAAUUGGGAUUAAAAAUACAAACUUUAUUCGAUAUGAUUAUUUAAACUUAAGAAUUAAGAUCAAUAAAAUGUAUUUAAACUAAAAACGAAUUGGAAUCAAACUAAUUGAGAUUAAAAACAUAAACUUUAUUUAACGUGAUUAUUUAAAGUCAAGAAUUAAGAUCAACAAAAUACAUUUAAACUAAAAAACAAAUUAAAAUCAAACUAAUUGAGAUUAAAAAUACAAACUUUAUUCGAUAUGAUUAUUUAAACUAAAGAUUUAAGAUCAACAAAAUACAUUUAAACUAAAAAACGAAUUGAAAUCAAAUUAAUUGGGAUUAAAAAUACAAACUUUAUUUAACGUGAUUAUUUAAAACAAAGAAUUAAGAUCAACAAAAUAAAUUUAAACUAAAAAACAAAUUAAAAUCAAACUAAUUGGGAUUAAAAAUACAAACUUUAUUCGAUAUGAUUAUUUAAACUUAAGAAUUAAAAUCAUUAACAAACUUAAACUAAAAGAUAGAUUAGAAUUAAACUAAUUGGGGAUUUAAAAAUAAAAUAAUAUAAACUUUAACACAAAGAAUUAAUCAAAAACUAAAAUUUCCAAAAAAUAAAAAAAAAAAUAAAAAAAAAUCUAGGCUAAAUAAAAGUACUAUAUAGAAAACUAACCUUUGAAGUGAAAGAGAAAAUCCUCUCUUGAUGAUUAAAUGACAGCCCGAUCUCCGUUCGAAGUCCCUUGCUUUUUUCCCAAAAUUCCGUGUGCUCUGCCCCCCCCAAGAAAAAUCUCCUAUUCUUUUCCUUUUCUCACCUAUAUAUAUCACCCCUCAAGACCUAAAUUUGUUUCCAAAAAGGAAAAUUCUCCUCCUUCCUUUCUUCUUCUCUUCUUUUUUUAAAUCCUCCAAUCAAAAGCAAUCUUCCCAAUUUCAAAUUCCCCUCCAAAACCUUCCAAGGAGAGUCCCAUCUUCCUUAAACUCCAAUGGUAAGUUUCCUUGCAAAAACAUGAAAUUUUUGAAGUUAAAUAAUUGCAUGUAUAGAUAAAUAAGUAAAUAAAUUAAAAAAUGGUAAAAAUAAUAAAUAAAUAAAUAAGUUAAGGAAAAUAAUAUAAAGAGGAAGAUAACCAAUAAAAAGUGAAUGAUAAUCAUAAAAUUAAAAUUAAAAACAAAAUAAAUAAAUAAAUAAAUAAAAUAAAAUAAAAUAAAAUAAAAGUCUUCGUAGGCCUAGUGUGCCUAAACGGGCCUAAGGUGAGACUAAGUGGGCCUAGGGUAGUGCCUAAUGGGCCAAGUGUAUCUAAAAGCUAUCCUAAAAAAACAAGAAAAGCCUAAAUCUAAGUUAGGGCUGCCAAGGGUCACAAUAAGGGAUCAAAUAAUCCCUCAACCAAAAUCUCCGAGGUGACUCAGAAAAAGGUAAGUGGUAUGAGUAGCCAUGGGCCACCAAGGAACUAUUGUGGAGCAUUGAAAAUGAAUUUUAAAGACAUGUGCUAAAGGGACAAAAUUGAGGGUCUACAGAACCCCAUCCUUAUAGUUGAUCUUUUUGAUGUUUGGGGUAUUGACUUCAUGGGACUUUUCCCAAUGUCUUUUGGUAACUCUUAUAUAUUGGUGGGGGUGGACUAUGUUUCCAAAUGGGUGGAGACAAUCCCCUGUAAACAUAAUGAUCACAGGGUGGUUCUCAAAUUUCUCAAGGAGAACAUCUUCUCAAGAUUUAGGGUGCCCAAGGCCAUAAUCAGUGAUGGAGGUACUCAUUUUUGCAAUAAACCUUUUGAAGCACUAUUAGCCAAGUAUGGAGUGAAGCAUAAGGUAGCUACACCUUAUCAUCCUCAAACUUCCGGGCAAGUGGAGCUAGCAAACAGAGAAAUAAAAAACAUACUGAUGAAAGUGGUGAUUACAAGCAAAAAAGAUUGGUAUAUUAAGCUGCAUGAUUCAUUAUGGGCAUAUAGAACAGCUUAUAAGACUAUUCUUGGCAUGUCUCCCUAUCGUCUCGUCUAUAGCAAAGCAUGUUACCUCCCUGUGGAAGUUGAAUAUAAAGCUUGGUGGGCAAUCAAGAGGUUGAACAUGGACUUGAUCAGAGCUGGGGCAAAGAGGUGCUUAGACCUUAAUGAGAUGGAGGAAUUAAGAAAUGAUGCUUACAUCAAUUCCAAAGUUGCAAAACAGAGGAUGAAGAAAUGGCAUGAUCAGCUAAUCUCCAACAAAGAAUUGAGGAGAUGACAAAGAGUCCUACUCUACGACUCAAGGCUCCAUAUUUUUCCAGGGAAGCUCAAGUCAAGGUGAAUAGGUCCUUUCAUUAUUCACCAAGUACAUCUUAAUGGAGUGGUGGAAUUACUAAAUUCCAAUGGCAUAGAUACCUUCAGAGUCAAUGGUCAUCGCCUCAAGCCAUUCAUUGAGUCGUUCAAGCCAAAAAAUGAGGAAAUCAACCUCCUUGAGCCACAAAAAUCCUGAUCAGAGAAGGGUUAGAUGGACUUGGUUUCACCAAAGUCCAUAAUUUUGUUAAAUAUGUUAAUUUUUAAGUUUUGUAAAUUAUUUGAUUGUAAUUCUGAUCUUAAAUUAUGUUAAUUGUAACUAAUUUUUUUGAAUGAUUAAAAUCAGGAGGAAUUACAAGAAAAUCGAAAGAAGCUGCUCCCAGCUCCUCAGAGCCAUCACAGGCCCCUCUUUUUGUUAAUCAGCCUUUGCCUCAUUCAGAGCCUCCUAUAGGAGAGACAGCUAAGCCAUUAUUUCCACAGCAUCACUUCAUGUCACUCAGGAGGUACCACUUCCUCCCUAUUUUUCAAUUGCUUCUGUCACAUUGAGGACAAUGUUCAGUUUGGUUGGGGGGAGAGUUGAGGAAGGAAGUUUUUGUUAUUAAUGCUAAGUUAUUUUGGUAAUUUAGUUGCUUUUUGCUUAAUUUUAAAAUUUUUUAAGUUUUUAUUCUACUCUCCAUGGUUAUUAAGGAAAAAUUCUCAAAAAUGAAAUGAGAUAAAUUAAAUUUUUGUCUUUUUACUUGACUUAGAUUUUGUAUUAUGCUUACUAAAGUUGAUGAAUUGUUGAAACUUCUAUUGAAUUCAACCUUAAUUCUUCCACUUUAAGCUAUUCACACACUGUGCACAAUAGGUUCUGAUUAUAAGAUGAAGAACUAUUUCCCCCUUAACUUAGGAAAAUUUUAGACUUGGUACCUUUGACCUCAUUUAAUAGUGUUGGGACACCUUAUAAAAGGCCAAUGAGCCUUUGAAAAAAAGAAGAAAGAAAGAAAAAUGUUUACUUGCCUUGAAACCCGAGCAAGGUUUGAGGGGUAUAUGGUGAAAAUCUUAAAAACCUGGUGCCCUAAGCCUUCAGUGGUUGGGAGUCACCGACCUCAAUGCUCGUUACAAGGGUGGAUAGGUGGAGUUUAACAUACUGUAGGUGCUUGGGUAUUAAAAAUUCAUUCUCAAAAGUCCGGGGUAAAAUCCGAGUUAGUGGUUGAAAAAUCCUUAAAGCUUGAUGCCCUAAACCUUAAUUGGUUGGGAGUCAUCGAUGGACCCCCGUUACAUGGACAAUUUAGAAAAGAAUACCUUUAGCCUUGUACUCCUACAAUGAAAAAAAAAUUGUGAAAAAAGAGGUGCGUUCUUAGCCUAUUGGAGGUUGAUUAGUUUGCUAAGCUUUGAAAAAGAACUAGGUUGGGGGAGAGAUUAGUUUAACAUACUAUAUUCAGAAACUAAUAAAUAACACUUAGAUUUUUGUGGAAUAGUAAGGUUUGACCAUCUGGGAGUGGAAACUCUUUUAAAGCUUAAAUUUGCAUAAUGUCGUCUCUAUAAGAAUUGUGAUUAAGACAAGUUAUUUGAUAACUCUUGUUGAAGCUUGAGUUUUAUUUCUUUAAUGUUCCAUGUGAGAGUUAGAUCAUCAUGCCACUUGAAAAUUGUUUUUUGAUCAGCAUGAUGUUGUAAAUUAUAGUACUGUUUAUUUUUAUUUUUUUCUCUCCUUCAUUGCUAAGGGACUAGCAAUAUGUCGGUUGGGGGGAGUGAUUACUACUCAAAAAGUGCUAUUUCAUAGCUUGUAAUAAACUCUUUUAAACACUUUUGAGUAGUAGUUAUCACCUUUUAACCCAAUUAACAUCUUAAGGACCCUUGCAAUCAAUUCUAAUCAAAUUGUGUUAAGUUUUGGUGUUUUGAUAGCUUUUUUAUCACCAAAGCAAUCAGAGAUUGAGGAGAGUUCUUUAGAAUCCAUGACAAAAGAUGUUCGGACAGGGCGUCCGGACACACCAUUGGAGAGCAGCGGAGCGUGGGCUGUAGAAAGGCUUGCUCACUGUAGUCAAUGAUCCGGACAACAUAUCCGGAUAGGAUAUGCUAUCAUCCGGAGUGUGAUGUUCGUGAGUGCCGGAUAGCAUGGCGGCGCAUGUCCUCUUGGGGAAUCCGGAUGAAGUUGAGUCGGAUGGGUCCCUACACCUUACACACGCAGACAGUCCCUCUUGCGCAGCAUAGCUCAGUCCACCCGGGGAGGAAUUCUGUGCGCCAACAUUUCACAUCCGGAAUUCCGUGCGCCGACAUUUCACAUCCGGAAUUCCGUGUGCCGACAUUUUACAUCCGGAUAUCUCACAUCCGGAUGGGAGAGGAAGACGCUUCAACUUCUCCGGAUAUACAUAUCCGGACCUUUUGAUAACGCUUACCCACAGAGUUCUUCUCUCAGUAUACAGUGCAGCGGUGUUCUCCUGAAGCUUCCUGAUAUUUCCGACCGACAUUUUGAGAUAUUUUGGGAUAUUUUUCUUUAGAUAUUUGUUGUCUAAAUCCCCAAACUCUCCUUGUAAUCCACCUAUCAUAGGAUUCCUUAGUCUUUAAGCAAGAAAAAGGGUGAAUAACCUCAUAUAUAUAGUUUGUAAUUUUCUUUACAAAGAGAAUUAUUAUGUAAUCAGCAGAAGGAAGAAAUAUAUUUUACAGAGCACUUGCUCUGUUUUUCCUUCUUAUAAUUGUUUUCUCGUUAGUUUUCUUACUAGCCAAACAAGCUCUGAGGAAGUUUCCUCAGAGAAUGAGUGGCUAGACUUUUAGUUCCUUGGAGUUAAGGUUGCCGGGAAAGGUUCCAAGUGCAUGAAUUAGUAGCUUUGUGGUUUCAGCCAUUAAUGGAGAGAAAGUGUGAUCCUUUAAUGAUUUCUAUGUUUUUAGUUAACUUAAAACACUUUCAAUUCACUUGAGCCAACACUUGGUAAGGCAAGUGAGCUCCGUCCAUGGAGAUGCACUAGUUUACCUCUUGCGAGCUUUUGGGAAGUGACUUGGAGGUAGGAUUUUCUAGAAUUGCCAACACUUGGUAAGCUUUUGGACUCCAAGGAGACAUCCAUUAGUUAUCUCUUGCGAGCUUGAGAAGGGAAGUCCAAAGUUAAAGAUCACCUUGAAUGGCAAAUGCUAGGUGAGAGGCACGAGCCAUUGCAAGUUGCAUCAGUGAGAGGGAAUUAGAGCUGAAAUCCAUUUAAAUGAUACAUCUGUACAGCACUGGUUAGAGAAUUGACUAUAUGUUAAUUCUCUAAUGUGAGGAAAUGAACCAAAUGACCGGAGCUCUGUUUUUGCAUAAGGAACCUCCCCUGUGAACCUAAACCUCCAAGGAAUGUUUUUCUUCAUAAGUAAUUUCUAUUACUUUCUUUUUAGUUAGCUUUAAACAAAACCUCAUUUAAACAAAGUUUGUGUUUUAUUUCUUAAGCUAGCCUUGAAAUGAAAAAGCACCAAUUUACUUUGAAUUGGUAUCAGUUGUGAGUUGAAAGCCCUUCCUAGUGAACGAUCCUAGAGCCACUAUGCUAUAUUAGCUAAGCUAUCCUAAUGCAUGGUGAUAUAGGUUAUAAAUUUUGUUGAUUACUCUCUCAAUCAAAGAGCACCAGCUGGACAUGAAUCAACUGAGACACCAAUUGGGAAGGAAUCAGGAGGUGUGACCUGGGAUGCCAAUGGUCACGUUGUCGGUCUUGAUCUGAGUAGCGAAUCAAUUUCUGGUGGAUUCAAUAGCUCUAGUAGCCUUUUCAAUUUACAAUAUCUCCAGAGCUUGAAUUUGGCUGGAAACAGCUUCUGCGGAGGAUUGAACUGGCCUAACAACAACUUCUGCUCUUCUCAAAUUCCAUCAGGAUUUGACAGGCUUGCUAAUUUAAUUUAUCUGAAUUUAUCCAAUUCUGGCUUUUCUGGGCAGAUUCCAAAGGAAUUUUCGCUCUUGACUAGGUUGGUUACCAUCGAUUUCUCCAGCCUUGGUUAUCUCAUUGGAUUUCCUACACUGAAACUUCAGAAUCCAAAUCUGAGAAUGUUGGUUCAGAAUAUCAAGGAGCUUAGGGAACUUCAUCUUAAUGGUGUAGACAAUCAGCCGAGGGGAAGGAGUGGUGCCAGGCAUUGUCAUCUUCAGUGCCUAAUCUCCAAGUGCUUAGCUUGUCCAGCUGUCAUCUUUCAGGCCCAAUCCAUUCUUCCCUGCAGAAGCUUCGAUCUCUCUCAAGGAUUCGUCUGGAUGACAACAAUUUUGCUGCUCCAGUUCCACAGUUCCUCGCUAGCUUCUCAAAUUUGACUCACUUGCAGCUCAGUUCUUGUGGAUUAACUGGAACGUUUCCAGAAAAGAUCAUUCAGGUAACAACCCUACAGAUUCUUGAUUUGUCAAUUAACUUACUUGAAGAUUCUUUGCCAGAAUUCCCUCAAAAUGGAUCUCUAGAAACAUUGGUGCUUUCGGAUACAAAACUUUGGGGGAAACUACCCAACUCCAUGGGAAAUCUUAAGAAGCUGACUAGCAUAAAGCUGGCACGUUGCUAUUUCAGUGGCCCAAUCCUAAACUCAGUGGCAAACCUUCCUCAACUGAUUUACUUGGACUUGUCUGAAAAUAAGUUUUCCGAUCCAAUUCCAUCUUUUAGUUUGUCCAAGAGACUCACCGAAAUAAACCUUUCCUACAAUAAUUUGAUGGGUCCAAUUCCUUUCCACUGGGAAAAACUUGUUAAUUUAAUGAAUCUUGACCUGCGGUACAAUGGAAUUACAGGAAAUCUCCCCCCGUCCCUGUUUUCCCUCCCAUCCUUGCAGAGGUUACGACUAGACAACAACCAAAUUUCUGGUUAGUUCAAAAUUCUUUUAAAUGCAUCUUCUUCUAGAUUGAGCACCCUUGGUUUGAGUAGCAACAAUCUCGAAGGCCCGAUACCUAAUUCUGUCUUUGAACUGCGGUGUCUUAGCUUCCUUGACCUAUCUUCCAACAAAUUCAAUGGAAAGAUUGAACUCAGCAAGUUUAAAAAACUUGGGAAUCUUACUGAUCUUAGCCUUUCAUACAACAACCUGUCCAUCAAUGCAACCCUUUGUAAUCUGUCCCCUUCUAUACUGCCUAUGUUUACAACAUUAAGGUUGGCUUCUUGCAGGCUGACAACUUUACCUGAUCUUAGCGGCCAGUCAAGCUUGACACAUUUAGACCUUUCCCAAAACCAAAUUCACGAGAACAUACCUAGUUGGAUUUGGAAGAUUGGUAAUGGCUCUCUUGUGUAUUUGAAUCUCUCUCAUAAUUUACUGGAGGAUCUCCACGAACCUUUCUCUACUUUUACUCCUUAUCUGUCCAUCCUUGACCUACAUUCCAACCAGCUCCAUGGCCAAAUCCCCACUCCUCCCAUAUUUUGCAGCUAUGUGGAUUACUCGAACAACAGUUUCACCUCCUCCAUCCCAGAAGAUAUUGGUACUUACAUCUUCUUCACUAUUUUCUUCUCUCUUUCUAAGAAUAACAUCACUGGAAUUAUCCCUGCAUCAAUCUGCAAUGCCAGUUACCUGCGAUUUCUUGACUUUUCUGACAACGCUUUGAGUGGAAUGAUACCCUCAUGUUUAAUUGGGAACGAGAUUCUUGAGGACCUGAAUCUACGGAGAAACAAGUUAAGUGCCACUAUACCUGGGGAAUUUUCGGGAAACUGUCUUUUACGGACUCUAGAUCUGAAUGGGAAUCUCUUAGAAGGAAAAUUCCAGACUCUCUAGCCAAUUGCAAAGAGUUAGAGGUUUUAAACCUUGGGAACAAUCAGAUGAGUGAUUUUUUUCCUUGCUCGUUGAAGACCAUAAGCAGUUUGUGCGUCCUUGUUCUUCGAUCCAACAGAUUCUAUGGACCCAUUCAAUGUCGACCAUAUAGCAAUCCCACCUGGCCACUGCUUCAAAUUAUGGACCUUGCUUCCAACAAUUUUAGUGGUGACUUGUCAGGAAAAUUCUUUUUAACCUGGAAGGCAAUUGUGGACCCGCAUUUUUCACGUGCGUCCCCACUCGAUCGGCGAGACUCGCUUUUUAUUAGUGAAAAAUUGAUUUUUGAAAAAAAGUUGGAGUCGCCACUUAUUUUAUUUUUAUUUUAAAGGGAAAAUAAAACAAGAAAGAAAAACCCUAAAAAGUGACUCCAUAGUUUUGGAAAAAGCAUGUCUUUGAGAAACCCGAGUCUAAGUCCGGGGAUCAGGUUACUUAUUGGGAAGGUACCUCUAGGAGGUAGCACCCCUCUAAGCCCUAUAAAGGUCUCUACUGACAAAGUUAAGGGAAGUGUGGCAAUUAAUCAGUUAAUUAUAGAUACCUAAAUAGGCUGGGUGAUUUUAAAGAGUGGCAUGCCAAACACAAUCAAAUUGCAAUAAAGGAGAGUUAGGGUGCGUACCAGAACCGCUCUUCAAGCGCUAUCAUAAAACAUAAAAGUUAGUGUAGAAUUGUAGCACACAACAUUUGUUUUAUUCAAGCAAAUCAGGCAUAUAUCAAGAUAUCCAAGAAUCACGUCAAAUAUGGAUAUAGUCAUCAAUGGCAUACAAAUCCAUAGAGUUCUAAAAAAUAGAUGAGAAGAGAGCGUACCUGGAUAGCAAGCUAGUACUCCUCUAUGGGAAUCAAGAGCAUCUCAACAAUAAAUACGAAACAAAUUCAUGUAUAUCAUCAAGAAUAAUCAAAAAUCAACAUAUCAAGCAAACAAUAUUGAAGAAGGUAUCAUGAAUGUCGGGCCCCCACCAAAGCCCUAAUUGCUUUCGCACAAAUUGAUUCAACCAGUCCUAUUAUUUAGAACCAUGAAGUUUAUUUGCGCUUGUUGAAAAUCGAGAAAACCAUGAAAAUAGUUGAAAAUCCCAAAAGAUGCAUGUUUGAAUGAAAUAUGGGAGCAAGGGUUUUUAAAACUGAAUUUUCUCAACCUGAAAUCCUCCAAUGAUGAAAUUAAAAAAAGAAUAAUAGCUUUGAUGGAAAAGAGAUUUAAAAAAAAACGUGAUUCAAAACAUGUAAGAUCACAAGGAAAUAUCAAAACAAUAAGGGAACGGUGCAUCAAGAUGGCCACUGUAUGAGUGAGGUCUGGGGGUGUGAUUGAGACUACUUCGCUAAAUUUGAAGAUGAUUUCCUUAAUUCCAUUCUGCUGCAACGUUCUGAUAUGCCUCAAUAAUUCAGGCACAUUCAUCUCCUUGGCCAUCUGAAACAAGCUCCAUGGUUUGCAGAUAAUUAUAAGUCUCAUGAAUGCAGGAGUAAUCAUUACCUAUUUCCAGUAAUUAACAUAUUUAACACCCUGUUCACGAGUCAUGCAACCUGGUUGAUCCACCAGAUUGCAAAGAAUUGAUGCAAAGUAAAUUCUAUGAGGAACAAGUGAGUGUCACGAUUCUCAAUUUUUGAAGCUUCAAUCACAGACUACACAAAUAGUUGACUUUCACUAAGUUCAUCAUCAUCAUCAUCCACACAACCAGGUUGUUGUUUCAAUUCAGUGUCAAGUUGCUGAAUCUUCUUCUGUUUUAGCCAUGUAGGAAGCCUUUUCGAUUGUAAAUCCGGAAUGACAUCAAGUUUAAUCUCCAAUUCUGAACCCUCAAGGUACAGUUUCUUCAUUGAGCCUUUAUUACUUUUCCUUUACUGAUAUUACAGUAGUUCAAUUCAGGCAGCCAACUUAGCUAAACACUCACAACCUCGAAUUCAAAGACGGCACAAUUGGCUCAUAGUAAAAAUCAUCCCUUCCACCGAACUCCUAUGGCGCGGCUGGUUGUUUGAGGUGUAUCUAACCACUUUCAAAAUCACUUCCAUCAGCAGUCCCAAAUUAAUCACUAUGAGACUCCUUAGUGAGUUCAGGGAAUAACCCACCUUAGUGGGGAGUACAUGCACUUACCAUGCGCACACCACGUGGAUGUGCUCAUUGUGUCAAGGCGACUUUCCACUGACAUUUUGGCUUGAGAUUUAACAUGUAUUAGGCGCUGACUUCAUAAGCAAUGCCAUGUAAGAAUAUCUUUAACCAUUCAGGAGUGAUAGGUGGACAUUGGAAGGAGUUUGUAAUGCUGGAGGCAACAUCGACUUAUACAUCUGAUUGGCCGGCGAGUGGCUUCUCCAUCUUCUAAUUCUAAAUCCAUAGAACUUUCAGAAAACGUGCUGAAAUGGUGUUAGUGAGUGCACGACAGCAAGAAGAAGCAUUACAUAUGUCACCUUUCUCCCAAGCUGUUCAUCGGCAGUUUGCUCCAUGACCUGAGUAUGUCUUCUUUUCCUCAGGUAUUCCAAUCAUCUUUCAAUUCAGCUGGCUCAUGAUCAACAAAAUCUGGGUCUCUUGUUCUUUAGGUCGAUAUCGUUAACCAUGACAUGGGAAUAAACUCAUUUGGAGGUGAGUUUGUUUCGUCUGCAAUACCAGGGAACAUGAUUGAUCCACCACUGAGCACAACACUGCCAUAGUAGUUCUUAUCCUAAAAUGGUUGUUGUUGUCAUGAUUGCAAAUUUAAUUUCAAAUGGAAACCUAGAUGGGUGUACAGCCUUGAAUGAUUGUGCCAUGAUUCAGGAUUACAAGGACACUACUAAAGCACUUUAAAGACGGACCAUUCUUCACAUUCUCAUUGCAUGUAGCAGCGGCUUGAUUAGAUGCACGAGCAAUAGAGGCAGGGUGUUUCUGCUAAACAUAAUCUUGUCAUCACAAGCGCAUGGAGCCAAGAGAGCACCAACUUAGGAUUCCAAUCAAGUCAGAAUAUUAAGAGUACCAGGUGGCAGGCUCACCUCCAUGCACACAUUAGCUAGUUUCUAAACAAAUCACAGAAGCCAUCUCAGAUGACUUUAAUAUUGCCAUGCACCCAAUUAACUAAGGCAAGAGCCAUUUUCCGCAUAACUGUCCCCUGUCCCCUGUCCUCUUCAAGUUAUUAGAAGUCUUUUCCUACAUCUUUAAUUGUCCACACCAUGUCGAGGAAGACUAAAGGCAACUAGUCAAUUUAGAAGCAAAUUCCCAUGCAUUAGUUCUUUCUGGCUCAUCAAGCCAUCAACACCUCAACUUUCUAUAUUGUAAAAACCACCCAAAUUAUCUAUAUCCUGCUGCCUUGUGAAGAGAGGACCCCCAGUCCACAAACUUGAAGGAGAAAGAGAGCACAUAAGUCACUUUCCAUUGUAACUCGUGACAAUAUUGUUGAUUUUUGAAUUCAGAAGGGGUGUCAUCAGAUUGAAUGCGUCUGCUCCCAUGUAUGACCCACCAUUUCAAUUUUGUUGACAAGCUCCAAUAACAAUUGAGAUCUAACUCUCUGAGCCUUUACAUCAUGCUGUCCACAAGCAUCCUUCAGAAACCUAAUCAGUGGUUCAAUAAAAUUCUUAGAUGAUAGCGAAUGCCAAAGUUGAUCAUCACCCUUCAAGUCUUUUUCUGCAUCUUCGAUCACCUGGCAUUUAGGACUUCUGUGGAUGUGUAUCAAGUUCAGAUAAAAACUUCAAAUCUGUCUCAGGUUUAUCAGCAUACCAUGACAUCUGCGAGAUUCAUUACUAGUCUUCACGGAAAUCAAAUUUGAGCCAUCUCUGAUUUUAAUGCAUGAUGAGCCUGAACUGUGACGGUUAUCUAAAGAUUCAAGUGAUAUACUGUUGAUAUCUAUUGGCGGAUGUAGAUCAUUCAUAGAAAUUAUGAGGCUUGCGAUAGAGGUAGAACAAAAUUCCCAUGUGUUAUGUGCUGGUGGUUCUACACGUGGGCCAAGUUUGGAGAUUCCAUGCUCCAACAGUAUCCAGAAGAGUCACCACAAAUAAGCACCAGAAACAGGGGAAGGUAUCCAAAAACAGAGCAUGAAGAAUAGAAACAAAAGGAACCGAUAAAAGUCGUGUUUCAUGUUUUGAAUCAACGGUUUAAACAGGUGGGCGAAACCAAACACAUUUCAAAUAGAAAUCAAUACAUGAUCGCAGGCAUCUAACAGAGAAACUAAAGCAGUACCAAACCAAUCUUAACAAAACCCAAAAGAAAGUGAAACAUGAACACACUAUAAUCCAAUCCAAAGAAUAGCAAAGAAGCCAAAUGCAUGACAGGAUAUCCAUGCCCAAAAUCAACAACAAGCAAAUAGGUCUCUGAUGACCGCACUAAAGCAUCAGACAAGUCUCAAUAAUAGCAAACAAAAUAAGUGUACAAAGGAGCAGUGAUUUUACAAUGAAGAACUUACCUUUAAGAAUAUGCAAUCUGAUAGAUCUCCUCUGUUAUACUCUUCUUUCUGUUCUGCCCCUCUGUCUGUUCUUUUUUGUCCUGCUCUUCUUUCUGUUCUGCCCUUCUCUCUGUUCUCUUUUUCUGUUCUGCUCUCCCUUUUUGUUCGUUCUCCAUGCCUUCAUAGAGAUUCUCCCAGAAAUCUCCAGGCUGCUCUUUUGGAAAGUCCCUCAUCAUUCCUUCUUCGAAUGUGUGUUGGCCCUCCAAUCCUGCAGUACCCCUGUGUGUCCUCUUCGUAUAUAGAAGGCUGAUUCUUUUAAGCAUGGCGACGUGUUGUCUCUUUGGAAAGUCUUGCUACCCUCAGACUCAUGGAGAAUCAAAUCCCACCCAUCACUCGUGCUUAUUUUUGGAAAAUCCUUUUUUUCAUUUUUUUUUUUUAUAUGUACGUUGUAAUGUCCAAAAAGUCCAUAGGGUGCAUGCUGUGUUUGGAGAUAAUCUCCUCUUUCCAUCUAGGCGCAACCGGCAUCCCUUUUCUUCCAUGUAUGUACGGCCUUCCAUGUGUGGUCCGGAAUUUUGCAUGGAUUCUCCAUUACACAACCACCAGGAUCUCAUGCAAAAAUAUAAAAAUUCGAAUCAAGACUCACGCAAUCUCCUAGACGAACUCGGUUGCACUUGCUCCUUUCCUGCUCCUUUGUGCUUUCUCCUCAAAAAUCCUCAGAAUUUCUCCCAAUCCUCCAAUGCGUGCUUCCACCAAGAUAACCGAAGAAUUCUUAUAGUACCCCUGAUUCAAACCACCAGAUUUACUGAAGAAGGGUCACCCUGGCUAGCAGCUGUACGUGUUGCAUAAUCUGAAGUUCCUUGCAUGUAGUGGACACCAUGCGAUUCCAUGUAUGAGUGAAGGUCAGAGCCCACCCAAUUUCCACUUCGUCUCAAAACUCUGACCAUCUCCACUACCACUCAAAGCUGGACCUUUGAGUAAAGACUGGCAGAGGCUUGGCUGCAAUCUCCUUUUUCCCGCUCUUGUGCACCUUUCCACCCCUCUCAAUCCUCCAAUGUGUGCUUCCCUUGAAUUCUCCCUAAAAAAAAAUCCUCUUUUGCCCGGUCACUCAUUCUUCCUUCCUCCUUCCGAAAAACCUAAAUCUCCUUAAAAAAAAGCCAAAUCUCCUAUUUUCUCUCUUCUUUUCUCCUUAUCCUUUUUUAAAUCUUCCAAUUCAAAAGCAAUCUUCCCAACUUCAAAUUCUCCUCCAAAACCUUCCAAGGAGAGUCCCACUUUCCUUAAACUCCAAUGGUAAGUUUCCUUGCAAAAACAUGAAAUUUUAAAAGUUAAAUAAUUGCAUGAAUAGAUAAAUAAGUAAAUAAAUUAGAAAAUGGUAAAAAUAAUAAAUAAAUAAAUAAGUUAAGGAAAAUAAUAUAAAGAGGAAAAUGAAAUAAAAUAAAAUAAAAAUAAACAAAUUAACAAAAAAUGGGCCCUACGAGCCAUGCAAACAUGCAAACCAUGCAAAAACAUCUAAAGGUGACCUAGGGUGUGUCCUAGUGCGCUAGGGCAAACGAAGUGGACUAAGUGUGCUUAAAAGCUAUCCUAAAAAAAACAAGAAAAGCCUAAGUCUAAGUUAGGGCUGCCAAGGGUCACAAUAAGGGAUCAAAUAAUCCCUCAACCAAAAUCUCCAAGGUGGCUUAGAAAAAGGUAAGUCGUACGAGUAGUAAUGGGCCACCAAGAAACUAUUGUGGAGCACUGAACACGAAUUUAAAGACAUGUGUUAAAGGGACAAAAUUGAGGGUCUACAGCAAUGAGGGCUGAUAAAGAUGGAGCCAGGUCAGAGCUCAAUCACCUACAACUUCAGGUACUACAAUUCAGCCAAGUGUACUAUCAGGAUACGGUGACUGUCACUAGCAAAGGCCUAGAAAUGCAGCUUGUGAAGAUUCUAACCGUCUUCACUGCCAUUGAUUUCUCCUUCAACAAUUUCCAAUGGGAGAUACCAGAAGCUAUGGGAAGCUUGAUUUCACUUUAUGCUCUCAACCUGUCCCAUAAUGCUUUGACGGGCCAAAUCCCAUCAUCACUAGGGAAGUUGCGGCAGCUUGAGUCAUUGGACCUCUCACAGAACAGCCUUAGGGGGGAGAUACCAGCACAGUUUGUGAGCCUAAAUUUCCUUUCCUUCCUUAACCUCUCCUUUAAUCAACUGGAGGGAGAAAUCCCCACAGGUACUCAACUUCAAACGUUUUUGGAAUCUUCUUAUGAAGGGAACAAAGAACUAUGCGGACCCCCCUUGAAGAGGAAGUGCACAGAUCCAUCCCCACCCACCUAUGAAGAAACACAUCCGGAUUCUGGGAUGAAGAUUAACUGGGUGUACAUAGGUGCUGAAAUUGGAUUUGUCACCGGUAUAGGAAUUGUGAUUGGGCCUCUUGUGUUAUGGCGAACGUGGAGACGAUGGUACUACACACAUGUGGAUAGACUUCUUUUGAGGAUUCUCCCGCGUCAAGGCGAAGGAGUUCAUGGCAGGAGACGUCAUAGAAGUCAGGGACGGAGACUCUAGCACCAGAAAGGUGGCGCAGCUAGAGUUUGUUCUAUGGAAGGAAAAAUAAAAACUAAAAAGUAUGUUCAUUGCUAGGAUUUCUGUGUUUUUUUACCUUAAAAAUUGGAAGUACGUUGUUUUUGAAUAAUAUCUUUCAAUUAUUUUAACUUAUUUUAAAAAAUAAUUAUACAAAUAUGAACAAAAAUUAAAAAUAAAAUAAUACUGUAGACCCCCAUUUUGGGGGGCAUCUUUUUGCAAAUUAUUUAUGUUGGUGGAGGGCUCUUAACGAGCCACAUGUUGCCCCAAGUUUGGUCUUUAGAGAAUCAUGUUAGUGGUUUGAAGAAGCAAUGGGAGGGCGACACGUGUCAUGGGAAUAUUCAGAAACAAUUUUUUUUUUAGGGAUUUGGAGGAGCAUAUAUUUGAUAUAGAGACAGGGAGGCCGUUAAGGAAGGGGAGAUAUUUGGUUGCUGUUACAGAGAGGUAUAGGUAGCUUGGGAGGCAAGACUGAGGAGGCAUGUUUUUUGGGGUUGCUUAGGAGAGAGGGAUACCUGGGGGGAUUCUCUCUGGAGGAGGUUACAGAGGAGUGUUUUUUUUAGUAGCUUGAGAGAGAAGACAAUUGGAGAGAAGACCAUUUGAGCUAGAGAAUGGGAGGAGGAGAAUCGAUUGAGCUUGGAAGGGAGAACUGGUCAGAGAGAGGAGGAAACACACAGAAGAAUCGUCUUGAAAGAGGGUGACACAGUAAAUCGGCCCAUCACUCAGGUACACUCCUUGCCUAUCUUGUUUAUUCGGUUAUUUUGUUUUGAUUGAUAUUCAUUCGGUAUCCAUGUUUGAUCAAUCAAUUGUCAUACUUGCUUCAGCUCAUUAGUAGAGACCCGUUUUUAGGGACUUAGAAGGGUGUUACGAUCUUUACCGUACCUUCCCAAUAAGUAACCUAACCCCCGAGCUCAAACUUGAUUUUUCACAGACCACCUUUUCCAAAAUAAAGAGUCACACUUAGGGUUUUCUUUCUUAUUUUGUUUACCCUUUAAAAAUAAAACAAAAAUAAGUGGCAACUCCAAGUUAUUUUCUUAAAAAAUAAAUAAUUUUCAAAUAAAAAGCGAGUUUUCCAUCGAGUGGAAGCGCAUGAGCAUAAAUACGAGGUCCACAAAUACACACUUAGGGUUUUCUUUCUUCAUUUUGGCAUUCAAAGCCACAUCUUCAUUUUGGCGUUCAGAGCCACCAUCCCUUUUUAAUUUGGCAUUCAGAGUCACUAUCUCUUUUUUCGAUUUGGUGUUCAAAGUCGCAUCUUCAUUUUGGCGUCCAGAGCCGUUGUUUGCUUCUAGUUCAGUAUUCAUAGCCAUCAUACCUCUUUUUCGGUUUGGCAUUCAGAGUCGUAUCUUCAUUUUGGCAUUCAAAGCAGUUGUUCAGUUUAGUUCGGUAUUCAAAGCCACACCUUCAGUUCGGUGUUUAGAGCUGCAUUUUCUGUUUGGCAUCCAGAGCCGUUGUUCAUUUUCAAUUUGGUGUUCAGAGCUGUCGUUUAUUUCUAGUUCGGCAUUCAGAGUUGUCGUUUGUUUUUUUAGUUCAACAUUCAGAGUCGUCAUGUCUUUCUUUAAUUCGUCGUUCAGAGUCACAUCUCUAGUUAGGCGUUCAGAGCCGCAUCUUCCGUUUGGCGUUCAAAGUCAUGUCUUCAGUUCAACAUUCAGAGUCAUUAUUCAUUAUUGACAUUCAAAGCCAUUGUUUCAUUCAGGCAUUUGAUGCCACCAUUUUUCUUUAGUUUUGGUGUUCAGAGCCAUUAUGCAUACUCAUUCAGGCAUUUGAUCCCAUCAUCAUUCUUUAGCUUUGGGGUUCAAAGUUGUUGUGCAUACUCGUUUAGGUAUUUAGAGUCACCAUUCUUUCAUCCCUUUUGGCAUUCAGAAUCAUUUUCCUCACCUUGUUACCUUGUGCUUAUUGCUUGUUCAUCAUGGUCUUCUAGACUUCCCCUUCCACUACACAUGACAUAGUCCUUUGAGUUCGCGACACAUAUUUUGGUCAUGUUGUUGGGCACCCCACAUUUAGCGUUCUCAUGUAGCUCACAUAGGGCGGUCUCCUUUGAGCACAUUCUUUUCUGUACUCCAGGAUGGUUCGACCAUUGCUCAUCUUUGACAUUGACCUUCAAGUCACUUUUGGAGACGUCUUAGAUGGAGUUUGGAUCCUUAAUGCAACUUUAGAGGCACAUUGAGACAUGUUUUUCUCUUAGGAUUAGAGUCAUUUUGUUCAUCUAUUGGUCUAAGUGAGUUUGUGUUUUGCAAAUGUCCCUUUGGGGGUCUCCUUGGUUCUUCAAUAGAGUUCACUUCAUUCCACUCAUUAUGCACAUUUUCUUUUCACCUUAGUGUUCAUAUUCCUUACACUCGUGAGUUCUAUCGAAGAGGGGCAUAUUUGUAGGCCCCCUUUUUGGGGGCCAUUUUUUUGAAAAUUAUUUCUGUAGGUGGAGGGCUCUUAAAGAGCCACAUGUUGCCCCAAGUUUGGUCUUUAGAGAAUCAUGUUAGUGGUUUGAAGAAGCAAUGGGAGGGCGAUACGUGUCAUGGGAAUAUUCAGAAACAGUUUUUUUGAGGAUUUGGAGGAGUGGAUUUUUGAUAUAGAGAGAGGGAGGUCGUUAAGGAGGGAGAGAUAUUUGGUUGUUGUUACAUAGAGGUAUAGGUAGCUCGGGAGGCAAGACCGAGGAGACAUGUUUUUUCGGGUUGCUUGGGAGAGAGGGAUACCUGGGAGGGGACUCUCUGGAGGAGGUUAUAGACAAGUGUUUUUUUUAGUAGCUUGAGAGAUAAGACAACUGGAGAGAAGACCAUUUGAGCUAGAGAAAGGGAGAAGGAGAAUCACCUGAGCUUGAAAGGGAGAACUGGUUAGAGAGAGGAGGAAACACACAGAAGAAUCGUCUUGAAAGAGGGUGACAUAGUAAAUCGGCCCAUCACUCAGGUACACUCCUUGCGUCUCUUGUUGAUUCGAUUAUUUUGUUUUGAUUUAUAUUCAUUCGGUAUCCAUUUUUUAUCAAUCAAUUUCCAUACUUGCUUCAUCUCAUUAAUAGAGGCCCGUUUUUAGGGACUUAGAGGGGUGCUACGGUCUUUAUCGUACCUUCCCAAUAAGUAACUAGACCCUCGAGCCUAGAUUCGGUUUUUCACAAACCACCUUUUCCAAAAUAAGGAGUCACACUUAGGGUUUUCUUUCUUAUUUUGUUUACCCUUUAAAAAUAAAACAAAAAUAAGUGGCGACUCCAAGUCAUUUUCUUAAAAAAUAAAUCAUUUUCAAAUAAAAAGCGAGUUCACCAUCGAGUGGAAGCGGAUGAGCAGAAAUACGGGGUCCACAAAUACAUAUUAAAUUUAUUUUUAAAACAAAUUUAAAAAUAUAGCAAACGGUUUAAAAACAUUUCAAAUUCUCAAAUACACUUUUGUUAAUCUACUAAACAUUAAAUAACAUAUUUAAAAAAUUGUUCUCAAAAACUCUUUUAGAAUACACUUCUCACUCAAAACCUAAUAAACUAAGAAUAUCAAUAACAAAAUAUCAAUAAAAAUAUUUAAAUAAAAUAUGGAGAAAUCCUAUUCAAAAAGUAAAGUCAUGUUUAACAACUAUUUUCUUAAAACAGUUUUUUUUUUAUUCAGAAUAAAAAAUAGGAAAACAUGUUUGAGAACUAAAAAUCAUAAUAUGGUUUUCUAUUAUUAAAAGCAUGAAAUGGUGUUUUCAAGUAACAUCUUUAAAAUUUUAAGAGAUUAUCGGAUCAUGUCAAAAGGGUUUAGCUAGAAUAAUCUAGGAAAUUUUACUCUAAGGUACUUCUUCAAAUGCUCAUCAUCAUUGAAUCCCAUGAUUCCAAUUCUACAAUUGUAAGAGUGCGUUUGAGAGUGAUUUUAGAAAACGUUUAUAGUAUUUUCAACAUUUAAAUGAUAAAAAAUUUCAAAUAUUAAAAAGAUUAAAAACGUUUCCUAGAAUUAUUUUCAAACGGACUGUAAAUCCUUUUCUGGUUAUGUAAAUGAAAUAUACAAAUAUAAUAGUCGGAGACUAAAGACAAAAUGUUGUUUUAUAUAUACAUAUAUAACCGAAAUACAUGAAACUUGUAGUCUGAUUUUUCCAAUGGAAGGAGACAGUUCCACCAUUAUAUUGAUUUGGUAAUCAUUUCGAAAUAUAAUUUAACUCAUGCUUUGAAAUGCAAGAAACUAAGAAAUUAAACUGAAAUCUAAUAGAAUUAAAAUAAGAGAAGUUAACAAUACCCAUCCACCCAUUUUUAUUUUAUUUUUCUUGUUAAGUCCUCAGCUUUCCUCUUACUUCAUGCUUUUUCUUUCCCCAUGUUAAGAGACAAUUUAACAUCUAUUGAAAUAGUAUGUUGGAAGAUGGUUGAACACUUGUGAGAGAUAGUUAAGUACUACAAAUUAAAUAUAAUAGCAGAAAUUCAUCAAUGCAAACUAUUUUAAGGAUGUGCCAAAUUUCGUGAAAGAUGUAUCAAAUUUUGUAAAGGAUGUACCAAAUUGUCCUUAGGAUGUACCUUGGGUUCCAAUGUUCGUUUCAAGGUGGGGAACAACCUCCAAUUCCUUCUCGAGGGUCCCCAAAGGAAUAUAUGAACCAUAAGAAUGGAGAUAGGGGUCUUGGUUCCUCUAAGAAUGGAUAUACCUAGGAUUGCAAAGUUUGUUUUAGGGUGGGCGAGUACCUCCAAUUACUUAUCAAGGGUCCCAAAGGAAUAUAUACACCAUAAUAAGUAUGAUAAUGGUUCUAGUUCUCCUAAGCAUGAUUUACCUAUUUUUUUAAGGAUGCACCUAUUUUUUUUAUGAAAUUAAUAUAAAAGGUUAAAUACAAUUUUUUAUGAAAAAUAUAUUUUCUUUUAUAUUUUAUUUUAAUUAAAAAUUAAAGAUUUUAACCAAACAAAAAGUUAGAUCUACAAUCAAAUUAAAAUCAUAAGAAAAAUGAUAAAAGCAUCAUCACUUAUUGUGAUUUUGAUAUGAUAAAUUUAAAAUGAAAAUUAAAAGAAAAAUAGUGUAAAUAAUAAAAUAGUAUUACAAAGAUAUUUUUAUUUUUACAUGUGAUAGAAUUUACAAAAUAAAUAAAUCUUUUGUUGAGUAUUAAUAUAAAAAAUCUUAUAUCAUAAACUUCUAAAUAAUAAAAUAGAAUUUUUAAAUUUAAACCUUAAUUUAUCAAAUGUAUUAUUAUAAUUAAUAUUUAAAAUCAUCAAGUAUAUUAUUUGUGUGAUAAUAUUUUCAUUUUUGUCCAUUAUAUAUUUUUGUUUUUAUUUAAUUUGUUAUAUUAAUUAUUUAUUAUAUAUUAUCAUUUUAAGUUUAAUAUGUCAAAAAAAUAAUUAAAAUCAAUAAAUAUGAAGAAAUUAGAGAGUAAAGAAAAAUUAAAAUUAAAGAAGUUUUAUGAGAAAAUACAUGAGCAUAUUAAAAAGAAUAUAAAAUAAAAAGAGAAAAAUAAUAAUAAAAACUAUAAUAGGUGGCAAUAGAUUAUGGUGGGAAGAGAGGAAAAAAAGAGAAAAAAAAAAAAAGGAAAAAAGUGGGAAUGUGAUCAGAUAAGCUAGAUAUAUUAAUGGGAGAGAAAUAAUAAAAAUAAAUGACACAUGUAUUUAUCGUGGUAUUAAAUGAAUAGAUAAUAUUUUUUUCCUAUUUUACACAAAAUGUCAAAAGGAAAAAGUAAAGUUAUAAAAUCUCAUUGUAGACCCCUUCUUGCAAGACCAAGGUGUUAUUUUUAUUUUAUUUAGCUGCCACCACCCGAGGAAGGGGGUUUUUCUUUUUUUUGGUAGGAUGGGGGGACCCCUUUUCUGAAAGGAGAGCAGCUUCAUAGACACGGCGAGAGACGUGGGCGGCUUGCUGAGGUGAGGAACAGUAGGGCAAGUAGUGGCUUGCCAAAGAAGAUAGAAAAAAGGGGAAAAAUGGGGAAAAAGUGGCAGGCGGGUUCUGGGAGGAGAAAAAGAAAAAGGAGAUCCGGAAAGAAUCUGAGGAGAAAGCAAGCCGUUUUACCCUCACUUGAGGACUCAGGUAUGACCAUUAUGAGCGUUCUUACUUUAUAUCAUUUGGUUUUCCUCUCUUCACAUCGUUGAUCUUAGGCAGGGUUUGAUGGUUUUUGUUAUCAUAUUCAUUCUAUUAUUUUCUUUCUCUGUUUUCUCUGUUUUCCCUCAAAUGGCUGGGAUAUAGUUUACUUUCUUUGAGUUUGAUGUUCAAUUAAAUAUAUAAUAGCUUACUGCUCAUCCCACCAGUGGGCACUUCGUUUGUUGCUCAUGAAACGAGGUCUUGCUUGAUGAUUUCUUGAUUUCUUACUCUGUUUUAUCUAUUUUCAUCCCCCAUGCUUUUGGGCUCACGUGUGUUUAAUUGUGAAAAUUCCUUGGGCCGUGCAUCACCCUUCGUUGGACUGUGUUUCACCCUCUGAGGAAGCUUCGGCUGCCCCUAAUCUAGAAGCUGUUGAUAAUUCUGGAUACACAUUCGAGCCUCAACGAGGGUAAGGUUGUUGCCUACCCAUCAGAUAUGAGAUACUGUCACUUCAAGAACCGGGUUUGGAUGUUCAGCUGAGAGUGUCAACAGAGGAGAGGAGGCUAACAAUCUGCGUGGGGUUGUUGAUGCUUUUCACUUAAAGCACAGGGAAUAUGCUGAUGGGAUGACACAAAAAUUGGUAGUUGCAUGGAAUGUGAUGAUUCCGGGAAGAUGCCGGAGAUGAUUUUUUUUAUGCAGGCUGUGAUGAAUACCGGGACUGGCGCUAAACGGCUUCGGUGAAGAGGGUCUGAAACUAUCCUAUUGUACAGAGCCAGAGGAUUUUGAGCCAUGUGAUUACGCAUUUGCAGGGGUAAUUAUUGCUCGUGUUUGGUUGGCAGCGUUGAUACGUGGAUGGCAGCUCCAUGCUCAGCUUGUCCAGCCAUGUUUUGAUUCCAUCUUUCCAGCGGGGAAUGCGCUGAUCGUAAUGCAUGCAAGAUGUGGUGUGGUUGAGGCAGCCUAACAAAGUCUUAUUUGGGUCCGGUACCCUAGAACACCAUGAUUGCAGCUUGGGCCAACACGGGCAUGCCACGCUGAUUUAGUUGAAGGGGGACUUGGCCACUUUGAAUCCAUGUCAGGCCUUUAUUGUAUAUGCCCAGGCCCACCCAUUUGAGAGACACUUCUUGCUGGUUGUAGGACUCAUGAGAACAUGAACUGGGGUAUUCCCCAUACGCAUGCAGUGCAUGCAUGUAUAGCUACAUGAAACACUCCACAGCCCGUCCACUUAAGAGUCUCCAUGCCCACAUCAUCUUUCAUGACUCACACUGUUACCACCCCAACCCAUUCAACACCAUGCUCCAUUCAUCUUCAUUAACCCAUCUCUCACUAACUCACCCGUUACGUACCCUCCAUACCCAUUUGGUCACCAUCUUUAGCUCAUGCCUCUCAUACUCACCACGUACCCACCGCCCAUCUCCAUACCCAUCUUUCAUGCAUCCAUGUAAACUCACCACGUUUAUAUAUUCAGCCCUACAUACAUGGUCAUCUCCCAUAGUGCCCUUGUAAACACUCAUCUUCAUACCCAUUUUGUAACCACACCCAUCUCUUGUUCCAUAGACUCACCAAGCCCAUUUUCUUUCACUUUCACUCACCACCUAUUCAUCAUCCGUCCACCUCUCAUCCAAACCCAUUUUCUUAUCACCUUUCUCAUGCUCAUGCUUGCCACCACCUUUCCUCUCUCUACGUUCCCUAUUGCCCAUUUCUCUUUCUAACUCUCCACUCUUCAAACCGUUUCCUCAUCACUCUUUCACCCUCACCACCCAUCAGAAACACCAUCCUCUCAUUCCCAUAAUCUAUUUCACGUGCAUGGAGUCCCAUGCGUGCGGCCACCCCAAGCACCCUCCACGUUUGCUUAACCCAUCUCCUCAUACCCGUCUUCUUUUGAUACCCAUUCUCCAUACAUGCAUGGCUGCCCAAGCCCCCCUCUCCAAAGCUACUUCUAUGACCCCUCAUCUUCUCACUCAGAGUCUCUGUUUCUCGGAUCUAAGCCACGGCCAGUGCGAGAGAGGGAUACACACCGUUGAAGAAAUGGUGAUUUACAUCAUGUGAGCAUCGGGUUUAGAGCUGAAUUUCAUGAAAUGGAGGAAGUUAAUUUCAGCGGUUUGGAGUUAGUAUACCAUGUCAGGCACACCUUUGGAUCAGUCUUCUUGGAUGAUAGUGACAGUCAUGAUCAGCUGAUUGGGGUACUGCACCAUGAGGGACGCCUUUAUCCCUAACGAGGUGGGGCUGUUAGUGACUAGUUCAAAGGCACUAUUUGGAGCAGUUUCUGUGCUCGAUUUGAGGAGGUUGCUGUGGUCGGCAAGCUGUCGGAGCAUGAUGACCCUGAUCUUGGAUAUGAGGCGGCCAAAGGUGAAUGUGUUGAUACGGACAAAAGAUGGAUGAAGGGAAACCCUCAUCCCGGAAAUCGUUACGGGUGCACUCCUGCUGGAUGCCCUGUUCAUAAGUAUAUUGAGACGGCCAUAGAUGGCUCCAAUGCUGUCAUAAUAACCUACAAAGGGACACAUGACUAUGCCAUGCAUGAACAAAGAGAAAGCGACAUGGCCCAUCGAGUGCUCCUCUCGUCGCGGCUGCCGCUGCCUGGCUCCACAGAAUCAUGGGUGCGCCUCUUGCUCGGGUGAGGAAGUAUAGGUUCAUUGUGGUCCUUGGUUGGUAAGUGACAAAGCAUUGAAAGCGGCUGAUUGCAAGAGCGACGGGGAACGUUCCCAAUCCUCGUUCUCAUCCCAGCUGGAGAUCAGCCAUGGCCACUGAGUCCGUCGAAGGACCUCUUGCUGUCUUCACUCCGCGCAAUCCCUUUCGUUUUCUUCCCCGAGUUCCCUCCGAGACUCUCUCUCACACUUGAUCCGCUCAAGCACUGCGCUGAAGCUCUCAAGUUCUUCAAAGAUAAGCUCCAGACGCCUGAGAAGACCCGCUAGGGGUUCGUUUUCUUGCAGGUCAACAGGAUGGGACUAUCCGAAAUGAUGAGAAACUACACUGUGGCUCUCGACAGUGUCAAUUUAAGAAAAUACUGCUGCUGAUGUUGCUCUGAGGCUUGUAAGGCCAAGAAGAAAGAACAAGGAUGUAACAUAGGCAAUUCGGAGGGUUGCUGCUGCAUAUGCCUGCCAAAUUGUCGAAGGUAUACUCAGCCACCAGCCAAAGCAGUUUGUGAUAGAUGGGAACAAAGUCGUACUGAGUGUUCCCUGUCCGGAGACCAGAGUUGAGGAAGCUGUGAACUCUGAGACUUUAUUUCAGAUCCAGUCUCAGGUACAAGAAAACCUAGGGUCUCGGCCUGCCGAGAUAAAUGAGAUAUGGCAGCCUAGUAUAUUUGAUUCAUGGAGAGCCAGUCAACGUUAGUAUGAGAAUUGGUGAUGGCCGGCAAGAGAUCCUUGAGAGAAGUUUCUAUUCCAGGUGGAGGGGUCCCUGUUGAUGAUGAGACAAUCUUCUUUGCCGCUUUGGUGUGUCAGCCUACUGCCCACCUCAAAAAGCUUGUGGAUCAAGAUCCUAUGAGGCUAUGGUAUAUCCUCCUGAAGCUGCCAUAAAAAGCCCAGGCCCAUUUCUAGCAUGGCAUGCAUGGCCACCUUUGAUCCAGGUGCCAUUUCCCAUUUUGCCAUCUUUAACUUUUUAAAAUAAUUUUCCAAGUCCUUUUCUUCAAAUAAAUUUCCGGGUUUUAGUCUUUAAAUAAUUCCAGCUCCAUGUUUUUCUUCAUCCUUAGAAUUUUUAGGUUCCAAAAAUCUAUUUUCCAAUAAAAUUUGCCACAAUUUUCUUCUUGGCGAGUCUCAUUUUCACAUUUUCCGUGAUUUCUAAAAUGUUUUUAAAAUAAGCAAGGAUCAAAUUUUGUAAUUCCUAAUUAUGGAAUUUACGGAUUUGGCUCAUGCAAAAUAAAUAGGCUUUGGUGGGGGGCCCCACAUAUAUGUUUCUGAUGAUUGAUUGGUUGAUUGUUCGAUUUGAUUAUCAUACAUGUUUGAUUUAUCCUGCUCUUUGACGUACAUGCCAUUAUUCUCUAAUUGUGUACUAACCAUCUUUCUUGAUAAUGCAUUGAUCGUUUGACGCCAAGGUAUGCCCUUUUCUCACUCUAGUCACUCUAUAUAUAUGUAUUGAUUCUCACACCUGCAUGAUCAUUUUGAGUAUUCAUUGAUUUACUCGUCAAUUGCCGCGUCAGCUUCAUUUUAUUAGUAGAGGCCCGACUUUAGGGACUUAGAGGGGUGUUAUGGUCUUUUACCGUACCUUCCCGAUAAGUAACCUGACCCUCGAACCCGAUUCGGUUUUUCACAGAUCACCUUUUCCAAAAUAAGGAGUCGCACUUAGGGUUUUCUUUCUUAUUUUAUUUACCCUUUAAAAAUAAUACAAAAAUAAGUGGCAACUCCAAGUCAUUUUCUAAAUCAAUAAAAAUCAUUUUUCAAAUUAAAAUUGAGCUCGCCAUCGAGUGGGAAACGCAUGAGCCAAAAUGCAGGGUCCACACUCAUAUUUUUUUAAAUUAGUGUAUGAUUACAUGAUUUCCCAAAAAAGAAUAUCAGUGUACACAGAAUCCCGAAGAAUUGGACACAAGUAGAAUUGAAAUUGAAUGUGAAUCGAGUGUGAAAGGACAACUUGUAAGAAGACAUUUCUCAGACUUUUCUCAAUAGUACGGUAAUUUAAAAAAAUUAUUCUUAAAUUAUUGUAGUAGAAGAAGUUAUUACAAAUAUAUGAUAGUUUUUGCCACUUAGGAGAGAGGGUGAACGGAUAAAUUUUUUUUUAAACCAAAAUCGUCUUUUCAAAAGACGAUUUUAUUUCCAUUUAAAAAAAAAAAUUCAAAAGGGAAAUCGUCUCUUGAAGAGACGAUUUCCCAUUAAAAAAAAUUAAUAUUUUUUUUAAUAUUUAUUACAAAUUAUUAAAAAAAAAAAAACCCAAGGGAAAUUGUCUUUUGAAGAGACGAGUUCCCAUGAAAAAAAAUAAUAUUUUUUUUAAAAAAAAUCCCGAAUUAAAAAAAAAAUCCUCAAGGGAAUUCCCAUAAAAAUUUAAUAUUUUUUUUUUAAAAAAAUUCCAAAUUAUAAAUAAAAAAUUAAAAUAAAAAAUCCUCAAGAGAACUCAUCUCUUUAAGAGAUGAGUUUCCAUGAAAAAAAAAAUAUUUUUUUUACAAAAAAAUUCCCAAAUUAAAAAAAAAAAAAAAAAAAUCCUCAAGGAAACUCGUCUCUUGAGAGACGAGUUCCCAUGGAAAAAUAUAUAUAUAUAUAUAUAUAUAUAUAUUUAAAAUUCCCAAAUUAAAAAAAAAAAAAAAUUCCUCAAGGAAACUUGUCUCUUCAAGAGACGAGUUCCCAUGAAAAAUAUAUAUAUAUAUAUAUAUAUAUAUAUAUAUAUAUAUAUAUAUAUAUAUAUAUAUAUUUUUUUUUAAAAUCCCAAAUUUUAAAAAAAAAAUUCCUUAAAGGAACUCGUCUCUUUUUUUAAAAAAAAAAUCCCAAAUUAUAAAAAAAAAAAGAAAAAAAAAAUCCUCAAGGGAACUCGUCUCUUCAAGAGAUGAGUUCCCAUGAAAAAAAAUCUCAAAUUAUAUAAAAAAUAAAAUAAAAUAAAAAAUCCUCAAGGGAACUCAUCUCUUCAAGAGACAAGUUCCCAUGAAAAAAAAUUAAUAUUUUUUUUUUUAAAAAAAAUCCCAAAUUAUAAAAUUAAAAAAAAAAAAUCCUCAAGGGAACUCGUCUCUUGAGACGAGUUCCCAUGAAAAAAAAUAAUAUUUUUUUUUAAAAAAAAUCCCAAAUAAAAAAAUAAAAUAAAAAAUCCUUAAGGGAACUCAUCUCUUAAAGAGACGAGUUCCCAUGAAAAAAAAUUAAUAUUUUUUUUAAAAAAAAAUCCCAAAUAUAAAAAUUAAAAAAAAUCCUCAAGGGAACUCGUCUCUUCAAGAGACAAUUUCCCAUUAAAAAAAAUUAAUAUUUUUUUUUAAAAAAAUCCCAAAUUAAAAAAAAAAAAUCCAAAGGGGAAAUCGUCUCUUCAAGAGACGAUUUCCCAUUAAAAAAAAAUAAUAUUUUUUAAAAAAAAUCCCAAAUUAUAAAAUAAAUAAAUAAAUAAAUAAUUCCAAAAGGAGAAAUUGAAAAACUUUUAGAAUAUUGUAAACAAGAAAUUGAUUCAUUAUUAAAUACAAAAUGCUGUUGAGAUAGAAAAAGGAGCACCAAGAUUAGUCAUUAAUUAUAAACCUUUAAAUAAAGUAUUACAAUGGAUAAGAUACCCUAUUCCUAGUAAGCAAGAUCUACUCAAAAGAAUACAUAAUUCUGUAAUUUAUUCAAAAUUUGAUAUGAAAUCUGAAUUUUGGCAAGUUCAAAUUAAAGAAGAAGAUAGGUACAAAACUACUUUUACUAUCCCUUUCGGUCAUGAUGAAUGAAAUGUCAUGCCUUUUGGUCUCAAAAAUGCCCCUUCUGAAUUUCACAAUAUUAUGAAUGAUAUUUUCAAUCCUCAUUUUCAAUUUAUAAUUGUAUACAUUGAUGAUGUCUUAGUAUUUUUUGAUUUAUUAGAAAAACAUUUUGUUCAUCUAAAAAAGUUUUUCAAUGUCAUUAAAGCAGAUUUUUAGAACAUGAAAUUUUUUAAGGAAAAACAAAACCGAUUCAAAGGUCAAUAGAAUUUGCUGACAAAUUUCCUAAUGAAAUAAAAGAUAAAAAACAAUAGGUUGUUUAAAUUAUGUUUCUGAUUACUUCAAAGAUUUGAGAAUCAUUUGUAAACCCUUAUACAAAAGACUUAGAAAAAAUGCACCUGCAUGGACUGAGCAUCAAAAGUCAUGAAUAGUAGUGAAUAGUAGAAUUUGUCUACUUUCUACUACUUUGCAAUCAACGUGGAGGAUGGGAAAGUAAAGUGAAUUUUUCUCUUUUCAAGUCUCUGACAAGGAAAAGAAAUUCUCCCUCUCCAGACUUCAUUACCCAACUGUCUCUACACGUGAUGAAUUUCAAAAAUUUUCAAGAUUGAAGAUUCAAUAGAAUUUCAAGUCUGAAUCAUCGCCUAUAAAUAGAGCCUCAACAUUCUUCAUCAAGCAGAGUCGGGAAGAGAGCUUCAAGAGCAGAAAAAAUUUAGAGAGUGCAAAAUUUUGAGCGUUCAAAAAUUUUUCCCUUUGGAAUUUUUUUUAUUUUUUUAUUUUAUAAUUUGGGAUUUUUAAAAAAAAAAUAUUAAUUUUUUUUCAUGGGAACUCGUCUCUUCAAGAGAUGAGUUCCCUUGAGGAUAUAUAUAUAUAUAUAUAUAUAUAUAUAUAUAUAUAUAUAUUUUAUAUUUGGGAUUUUUUUUAAAAAUAUAUUAAUUUUGUUUCAUUUGGGAUUUUUUUUUUAAAAAAAUAUUAAUUUUUUUUUCAUGGCCCUUGAGGAUUUUUUUUUAUUUGGGAUUUUUUAUAAAAAAAAUAUUAUUAUUUUUUCAUGGGAACCUUGAGGAAUUUUUUUUUAAUUUGAGAUUUUUUUAAAAAAAAUACUAAAUUUUUUUUUAUGGGAACUCGUCUCUUCAAGAGACGAAUUCCUUGAGGAUUUUUAUUUAUUUAUUUUUUUAUACUUGGGAUUUUUUUUUCAUGGGAACUCGUCUCUUCAAGAGACGAGUUCCCUUGAGGAUUUUUUUUUUUUUUUUUAAUUUGGGAUUUUUUUUUAAUAUUAAUUUUUUUUUCAUGGGAACUUGUCUCUUGAAAAGACGAGUUCCUUGAGGUUUUUUUUUUUUUUUUUUACAAUUUGGAUUUUUUUUUUAAAAAAUAUUAAAUUUUUUAAUGGGAAAUCGUAUCUUCGUAGGGAUUUUUUUUUUAAUUUGGGAUUUUUUAGAAAAAAAAAUAUUAAAUUUUUUUAAUGGGAAAUCGUCUCUUGAAGAGACGAUUUCCCUUUUGAAAUUUUUUUUUUUAAAUGGAAAUAAAAUCGUCUUUUCAAAAGACGAUUUUGGUUUUUGAAAAGACGAUUUUGGUUUUUGAAAAUACGAUUUUGGUUUAAAAAAAAAUUUAUCCAUUCACCCUCUCUCCUAGGUGGUAAAAACUACCAUAUAUUUGUAAUAACUUUUUCUACUACAGUAAUUUAAGAAUAAUUUUUUUAAUUUAUCGUACUAUUGAGAAAAGUCCGACAUUUCUGGUUCUCAUUCAAAGUAAUGAAUUCCAUGUCGGUAGGCGUUCUGUUAUGCGUUCCUUGUUUUCUUUCUCUUUCACAAGGACUUGAUUAGGAAGACUUGAAGUCAAACCGAGCCUCAUUGAUCUUCCAACUACGUACCAAAUAUAUAUCUAUUAGUUGAUCUUCCAUUUAAGAUUAAUAGAUGGAAACCAAAAAGUCAGGCGUAUUGUUUGAGCCGCAGAAAAGUCGGCAAUGAAGACCUCUUUUCCGUCGUCGUGGAAAGAUAGGCACGAAUUAAUGAAGUGAACGGGCCAUUGUUGUGUCAAAUCAUAAUUGGUUCCUAAAGGAAAAUUCUGACAAAAUCGUAAGAGUAAAAAAUGUAAGAAAAUGAUAAAUUGUCAUGUGACUUGAAAUGGAGUAGAUAGGGGGAAACAAGGAAGGAAAAAACAUAAAAGAAAUACAUAUUAAACAUGAUCUAUAACUAGAUCAUUCUUUUUUCUUCCUGUUUAAUUUAUCCCAAUCUACAUAUUAAACAUGCUUUGUUGUAGCAGUACUUCCUAGCUGCUUCCAAUGAGAAUUGCACUCUUUUCAUGGCUUUAUUUCUUGCCCUUAUGCUCAAUCGUUUUUGGUAUCCAUGUUGCUUUGGUGUCCGGGGAAUGUCUGAGUGAUGGGAGCAUAUGCCUGGAGGAUCAGAUGUCCUUGUUGCUGCAACUGAAGAACACCCUCAAAUUCAAUGUUGCUGCAUCAAGUAAACUAGUUUCCUGGAAUCCAAGCAUGGAUUGCUGUUCUUGGGGAGGUGUAACCUGGGAUGCCACUGGUCAUGUUGUCGCUCUCGAUCUCAGUAGCCAAUCAAUUUAUGGUGGAUUCAAUAACACCAGUAGCAUUUUCAGUCUACAAUAUCUGCAGAGCUUGAAUUUGGCUGACAACUCCUUCAACUCUUCUCAAAUUCCAUCUGGAUUCGGUAAGCUUGGCAAUUUGAUGUACCUGAAUUUGUCUAAUGCUGGGUUUUCUGGGCAGAUUCCAAUUGAGGUCUCAUGUUUGACGAAAUUGGUUACUAUUGAUUUCUCUGUGUUUUACCUUGGAGUUCCUACGCUGAAACUUGAGAACCCAAAUCUGAGAAUGCUGGUUCAGAACCUGACAGAGCUUAGAGAACUCUAUCUUAAUGGUGUAAACAUAUCGGCACAAGGGAAGGAAUGGUGCCAGGCAUUAUCAUCUUCAGUGCCUAAUCUCCAAGUGCUGAGCUUGCCAAGCUGUUAUCUUUCUGGGCCUCUCGAUUCUUCUCUGCAGAAGCUUCGGUCUCUUUCAAGUAUUCGCCUGGACGGUAACAACUUCUCUGCUCCUGUUCCAGAAUUCCUAGCCAAUUUCUCGAAUUUGACUCAAUUGCGGCUCAGUUCUUGUGGAUUAAAUGGAACAUUUCCAGAAAAGAUCUUUCAGGUACCAACCCUUCAGAUUCUUGAUUUGUCAAACAACAAGUUGCUCCUGGGUUCUUUGCCGGAAUUCCCUCAGAAUGGAUCUCUAGAAACCUUGGUACUCCCGGAUACAAAAUUUUCAGGGAAAGUACCAAACUCCAUAGGCAAUCUCAAGAGGUUGACUAGGAUAGAGCUUGCACGUUGCAAUUUCAGUGGGCCAAUCCCAAACUCCACGGCCAACCUUGCUCAAUUAGUUUACUUGGACUUGUCUGAAAACAAGUUUUCCGGUCCAAUCCCACCUUUUAGUUUGUCCAAGAACCUGACCCGAAUAAACCUUUCUCAUAAUUAUUUAACAGGUCCGAUUCCUUCCUCUCACUUGGAUGGCCUUGUGAAUCUAGUGAUUCUUGACUUGCGUGACAAUUCACUGAAUGGAAGUCUCCCCAUGCCCCUGUUUUCCCUCCCAUCACUGCAGAAGAUACAACUGAGCAACAACCAAUUUUCUGGUCCCUUGAGUAAAUUUUCGGUUGUGCCUUCUGUAUUGGACACCCUUGAUUUGAGUAGCAACAAUCUGGAAGGGCAAAUACCUGUAUCCAUCUUUGAUCUCCAGUGUCUUAACAUCCUUGAUCUUUCUUCCAACAAAUUCAAUGGCACUGUUUUACUAAGCAGCUUUCAGAAACUUGGAAAUCUUACCACUCUUAGUCUGUCAUACAACAACUUGUCCAUCAAUUCAAGUGUUGGUAAUCCCACUUUGCCCCUGCUGUUGAAUCUUACCACAUUAAAAUUGGCUUCUUGCAAGCUCAGAACAUUACCUGAUCUUAGCACCCAGUCAAGAUUGACAUAUUUAGACCUUUCCGAUAACCAAAUUUGUGGGAACAUACCCAAUUGGAUUUGGAAGAUUGGUAAUUGCUCUCUUGCCCAUUUGAAUCUCUCCCAUAAUUUACUGGAGGAUCUGCAAGAACCUCUCUCUAAUUUUACUCCUUAUCUGUCUAUCCUUGAC